rnacentral:lncRNA from 1 species
UUUUUCCUCCAACCUUUUAGAUUUAACAUCCACUUUUCUUUCAAUAAAGGAUGAAGAUCGGUGAAGAACACCAAGAACACAAACUUUUGAAUCUUGGAGUCUAAGGUUCAAGUUGGUCUCACACUUCAAUCUACACUUUCUCAAGUUCCACCUUUCAACAAAAACUUCAAAAAAAGGUUCUUAGGCCACCUGUUCACAACAACAACAUAAACAUACAUGCUCAAAUCAAGAGUGGAAUCCAACACGAGUAUGUAUUUUGAGGUCACUCUUGAUUUCCAACUUCAUUGAUGAAAAUUCUUUGUUAAGGUAAGUUCUUCCAUCAAAUUCUUUGACUUUCAAUACUUUAAGGGAUCGUUUGGUUUGGAAACAAGUUAUGCUGGGAUAAUUUGUACUGGGAUUAGUUAUCUUGAGAUUAAUUAUGCUGGUAUUAUUUUUUAGUGGUUAUUUGGUUUGGCGGUGCUAAAAAUAGUAUGCAUUGAAUUCUUUUUAAGAAUAGAUAGUUUUCAUAAACAAAUACCAUUAACCUUAUUUAAAUUAAUUAUUUUCCAUCAUAUUAAACCAUACCAAAGAAAUUGAAAUUAUUUCUUUUUUAAUUUUAGUAGUUUCUUUUUCCGAAAAAUACAUGUUAAAAUUUUUUUGUUGAAAUUUAUUAAAUGUGUAUGAAGUUUUAAUAUUUUUUGUUAAAUUAUUCAUUCUGUCAUAAAUUCUAUAAAAUGUUGAUAAUUUCACUUUUUGUUAAAAACAUUCAUCAUCAAAAAAUGUGAAAAAAAAUUUCUCUCAUUUUCCAUUAUUUAAUAUCAUUAAUAUUUGGAGAGUUAAAUUGUAUUUUAAACAAAAAUAAAUUUACAAACAGUUUUAGCUAUAGAUAAAAAUAAUUUUUUAUUGAAUAUUUAACCAUGUACAAAGAUAGAAAGGGAAUGUCAAAAUACUCUAAUUACUUGUUCAUAACAAAUUUGUUAGGAAAAAUAAAAAUUUGAAGCAAGAUUAAUAAACAUUUCUACAACCCUUGAAUUAAUUUUGAAUUUCAUUGUAUAUAUAGUUUUUAUGGUGUCACUAUUAUUUUUCCAUGACUCAUCACUUUUGCUGCAUUUUAAAACUUAUAUAAUUGUUCAAAUUAACCAAAAAAAAAUAAAAAUUUAUAGAGUAAUUAAAAUUUAAAUUAGGAUAAAAUUGACAAAAAAAAUUUGAUGUGAGGACUAUCAAAAUUUCACAUUUUUCUAAUUUUAUCUCUCUCUCUCUCUCUCUAUAUAUAUAUAUAUAUAUAUAUUAAUAAACCCAUUGUUCAAAAUUACCAGAUGGAUGAAAUUUAUAAAGUAAUUAAUGUAUGUAUGUAUGUAUAUAUGAAAAGUGAUAAUUGGAGGUUGAUUUUUUCAUUUAUGGUUUUAUCCCAAGUUAAAUAAUGUUGGGAUUAUUUAUGCCACCUAAAAGGUGGGAUAACUUAUCCUUGUACUAUUUGUUAGUCCCGGGAUAAGUUAUCCCAAACUUGACAACCAAACAAAGCACCCAAAAAUUUAUCCCAGGACUAUUUUUUUAUUUUGGGACUAUUUUUUGAUACCCCACACCAAAUGAACCCUAACUUAUUAGAAUCAUUAGAACAAUCUCUAGUGGGGAUGUGAAUCUUUAAAUUCAGAGUUUUGAAAAAUUUAUAAAUUCUGUUAGUAUCACCUAGAUUUACUUCUAGAUUGUUAAUUAAUGAUUUCUAUCAUGCAUUAGUGAUUCUUAAACAUGAUAUUUGAUUAUUAGGAACCUUAAAUUCAAUAAAAAUAGAUUCUUUAGAUUUGAAAAAAUAUUAAUAGAGAUAGAUUGAGUAUAAUAAAAUUAGUUAAGGUUUAAUGGAACAUGGGUAGUAAUUUAGGCCAUGAAUAAGGAGAGAGUUAGUGAGUUCAAUUCUAAAUUAGUUAUUAAAAGAGUAAUGACUUAAUUACUCUUAUAUAUUUUUAUUUUCUAGAUGAUUGGGCUAAUGAAGGCAUAAAGAGCACCCUUGAUGUGGUUUUCUUGUCCCAAAAUCUUUGAUUGAGGUAGAUUAUAGUUUAAUGUGUACUAAACAUGGAUUAGUUGCAUAUAAUAACUGUAGUUGAUGGAGAUUUCCAUUCUAAGCCAACAGGCACAAUGUUUGGAUCGAUAAAAUAUGAAAUAAUUUAAUAAUGAAAUAGUUGUGAGUUAUUGUAUUUUCUUGGAUAUCUUGAUGGGUAUUAUUAUUUGUAUAAAUUGCUUGAUGAUUUAUAGCAUUUACGUUGUGAAUAUGAAUAAUAAUAGAAGAAUUAGGCAAGCUUCCAAUCUAUAGAUCUAGUCUUUAAUUCCUUAAAAGUGUGAAUCGAUAUUGUGUAUAUUUGAAGUAUGAUAUAUUUUUGCUAGAAGAUAGUUAAGAGGAUUUAUUUUGAUAAGAAAAGGUCAUGGUAUAACCUAAAAAACUAAAAUAAUAUUUUUCUAAGUGCUAUAAAGUAAGAUGUGUAAAGGCGUAUGACUCUAGCUAGAGAUGUAAAUUGAAUAGAAUCGAAUGGUUGAAUAAUCAACAAAAGUGAAUAUUGUCUUGUACUUUGUCAUACCUUUAGUGAAAGGAUUAUUAGUUAGUAACUGGAUUUAUUUAUUUCUAAAAUGAAUAAAAUAGAGUUAGAUUGAUGAAUAAAAUAGGAUGAUGAAUUAGAGGGUAGAUAUCAAUCCUAGUGGAAUAUGCAUUCCAGAAAUGAAUACUUGAUUGAUUGGUCUUUGGACAUAUUUGUUAUUGAUAAAUUGGAUUGAUAAUGCACAUUUGAGUAAGUGGUGAAUUGAGCUUCAAGCAUACUUAUUAUUUCAUGUGUUAGUGGAUAUUUGUUUCUUAAUAAAAAAAAACUUGUUGAUUGUUGACUACGUUUACUUGGUUGUCAUAAUUAUAAGUUGUAUUUCAAUCAUUGUUACUUACAUCUGAUUUUAAUUAGGUGUUAGCAGUUCUUCUUUAGGCACUACUUAUAAUUAUUGAAUGCAUCUUGUAUUUACGUUGAUCGUGUUGAUGAUGAUAUUGUGAUCAUGAUGUUUUUGAUGUUGAGAUGAUAUUAAUGAUGUUUAGUUGAUGAUAGUUGAUAAUAAUAUUUAGAUCACAAUAAUCAUAAUAUUCAGAACAGUAUUGAUGAUAGUGAUGAGAUGAUAUUGAUAAUGGUAUAGAUAUCAUGAUGUUCAUGAUGUCGAUAAUGAUAUUGAUGAUGCUUUUGAGAUGAGAAAGAGAUAAUAUUCACAUAUUUCAUACAUACAUUCAUCAUAUGCAUUUGAAUGUACAUUCAUAUUUAUUUAUAUAUUUUGGUUCCUUGUGUGGAUCAAUUAUUUGAUGAUAUACUAUGGUUUCUUAAAUGGUCCGGUUAUGUUAAUAAUGAUGAUUGUGCAUUAUAGCAACAUGUGAAUGUAAGGUAUGUUCUGAAUUAUGUGUACAUAUUGUUCUCUUGUGUAUAUAGUUAUAUGUUUGAUGUAUAUUAUAGUGCUACUUCUUGCAAUGUUAUUGAUUCUAUAAAUUGCCUCAAUUAUUGCAAUUGAAAUUGUUACUACUAGUAUAAUACAGAGUAAUGAUUGUUAUGUUAGGAGGAUUAAUGAGAGAGAGAAAAAUAUAGGGUUGUUAUAACAAGGUGAGUGCAUAAGCGAUGUGGGCUACAUUAUUCAUGGAAAUGUGCUAGAGAGGCCCUCCUUGAGGAUAAAUUAAUAUUUCUUAAACAAAAUGAAGAUGGUGGGUUGGGAUGUUGUACUAAGAUAAGUGUGUUCAAUUGUUAGACUUGUAUACUUUAAUAAUUUCUUUUUGUUUUCUAUAUGUUAUUAUACAUUCUAACCUUUGCCAGUAGGUAUAUCUACUACUAUGUGUGGUUUUAUGGAUACUACUCUUACUUUAUCUUUUCAGAAAUAUACAAAUGUUGCAUAUCUAGUGAAUUUUUUAUAGGUACACCGGUGAUUAUUCUUCAGCCACUCACAUUAUUGUAGUCAUAUAUGGAUAUUACAUAUUGGUGUCCUGUUUUUAUUUAUUUAGUAUUCUCGUACUGAUAUACAUUAAUUUCUGAGAGGUUGUUAUUUAUUCCAUAAUGUAAUUAAUAAGUUAUUUAAUUUGAAAAGUAAUUUUAUUUUUAUUUAAGGGAUUAUUUAGUUUUAAAACUAUUGAUGUAUGUAUUUCACACAUAGUUGAAUGAUUGGGUGGUAAGGAUUCUCCUAUCUAGGGAAAAAAUGGGUAGGUACAUGAUCAAGGAUUUGGAUCAUGACCUAAUUAAGGUGUAAGUGAAACAUAUUGACUAAUAAUAACUAUAAAGGUUAAAGAAGUUAUAGUUAUCAUAGAGUACAUUUGAUGUAACGAGUUAUGUAUGACCAGUGAGAUUAAAUGUGAAUGGUAGAAGAGAAAUGCAAAUGGUACAAAUUUCUUACUAGUAAUGAAUUAGACAUAACUAACUCAAUGAGAAUAAGAAUGAAAAUACUCAGAAAAUAUGAGAGGGAAAUGCAACAUAAGUGGGUGAAAGUAAUGUUACGAACUAAUUUGUAAAAUAAGUUUUCAUACUUUCUUUUUUGAUUACUAUAUGAUUUUUACAUGAACUAAUCCUUGUCAACCGAUGAUACCUAUCAGUAUGUAUGGUUGUACUGAUACUACUCUUGAUAUAUCCUUUUUGGGGUAUAUUAUGGUUGCAGGAUUAGUUAAACUUUCUUAAGUGAAUUGGAUAGUGAUCUCCAAUAGCUUCUACUCAUUUCAUUCCAACUACAAGAUUUGUGUAAUUUGUUUUGUCUUUUACUACAUUAGAAGCUCUUGCACAUUGCCAAGACUAGGUCCUCAAAUAAAGUGUUUUGAUUUAUCAUUUUAUUCUAAAAUAUCAAAUCAUUUAUCAUAUUUUAAAAUUCUUAAGGGAAAUUAUUAUAACUUGCACAUGUAUUUUGAAAUGGAUGGUAAGAGUUCUGCAAUAUAAGUGUAUUAGAGUAGGUUCCCACACAAUCUGGUUAGUUGGGUUGUAAAAAUUUCUUUUCUCAUAUAGAAUUUAUAUUUGAAUAUAUUAGGAUGCCUAGAAGUUAAUGUAGAAUGUCAAGAAUAUCAUUUAAUUCUUCGAGCUUUGAUUUGACUUGCAGUCUUCUUUCAAGGUAAGUAGAGACAUUCUUUGACUUUUUUAAAGUGUUUACAUGCGAGUUGUGUGUAUUGAGAGUAACAAAGAAAUAUGAGUCCAAUAUAGGUGAGAUGAUAAUCAUCUAUGUAGGUACCAAUGAAUUUAUGAAGGGAAUAAAACUAACCAAUUUACUUGUUUGGGUUAUUUUAAUCUACUUUCUAGCAAGAGUUUGUGGAAUAUGAUUCAAAAUAACUUGUUGAAUAUGCUAUUGGUUGGAAAAAUUUAUUGAGAUUUUAUGGGUAAUAUGAAAUAAAUUAUGUGCCUAUUGGAGGAUAUAAUUUGAGCUAGUUUUCAUUAUUGUCACACUCGUUUGGGGGCUUGUGAAUUUGAACAAAUGACUAAACAACGUAUAAGUGGAACUCAAAUUCACCAUGUACUGAGUAGCUGAUGAUACAAUUCAAGAUAUGCUAGAAAUCCAUUAAUAAUGCUUUGCUUACACUCUUUAAUAAGAAUAGCGGACACUAUCAAUAUAUUUACUUAAGAAAGAGUCGGGGUCGAAUACAUAGGGAACUAUGUGAAUGUUGAUCGAGUAAGUUCAAAAUGAAAGUAACUUGCUAAAUUCAAAUCUGAGAUACAAAUAAUUUGGGUUUUUUUUUGAAAGUUUUCAAAAAUAUUACAAUUUUUGUACUUUUAGAAUACUAACUCGAGGCUAAAAAUAAUUGGAGUGUAAUCAAUUAGGAGCGGAUCUUGGGGUUAUUCCAUUCCAGGUGCGAUCUUAUACAUGAGUAAUUGAAAAUUUAUCCAAAUUUAGAUAGUACUCAUGGGUAGGCUAGAUUUACAGGUAUUGGUGUAAAUUUUCAAUAAAAUACCAAAUUUUACUCAUAGAUUUUUCCAAACACCUUACAACUAUGUCAAAUUGACCAGUCCACUACCUCAAUUAACACCAUUAUUUCUAAAAUGAUGCUUUUAAGUGAGCUAACCCAAUUAACAUCCUUAUUUCUAAUAUGAUGAUAAUUAACAAGAUAACUCAAGUUAUUGAUCACUAUUUUUCUUCACUCAUACCCUCUCUUUCAAAGAUGAUAUGGGAGUCAAAGAAAUUGGGGUUUUUCAACUUGAAUUCUUAGUGCAAACAUGAAACAAAAGCAAAACCCAUAACAAAUAGCUAAAUAGGUAGAUAAAUAAAUAACACCCAUGCACUAAUGACAAGCUGUUCAGACAUAAAUCCAAGAGGAAGUAUUAGCUACUCAUAGAGAUAGAAAGUAAGGAUAUACCAAAAUUUAUACCAAUAAGAUAAAGAGAAUGUAAAUUCAGACUCUAAAUUCCAAUAAAUAUUCAAUGGAAAUAUCUAAUCCUUCUCUUAGGAAUUAAUCUAAUGUCUUCUUAGCUCAAGAAUAGUUCAAUAUUGUUCCAAAUCUAAAAGAUGUUAAAAGGAUGGAAUAUAGGAUGAAAGAUUGUUAGAUAAUUAAAAUGAGAUAAAAACCCCUAUUUAAGCCCCAAUUCCACAUUUACCAAAUAUUACAAAAAUGUCAGCUUGCUCUUGAUUUACUUGAGCAAAUCCAUAGCAGAUAAAGAGCAGAUGAAAAGCACACCCAAAGAUGAUGCGAAGCGGAUGCAAAGUAGAUGAAUAUUUUCUUUCAUAUUUGACCUCUUGUUGCCUUGAACGACUUGAUCAUUAUUCCAUUAACCUUUACCUCUACAAAUGAGCAUUAAGUGUGAGAUUAACAUUAAAUCAUGGAAAAACAUGAUAAUCUAAUCUUAAAAAAUGCUACAAAUUUGUCAAAUUGAUGAGUCAUCAACCCCCCAAACUUAAACUAUUACUUGUCCUCAAUUAACAUAGAAAAAAUCAAUGAGAUAGUGUAUUUAACUCCAAUCCAAAAAAAAUGAAAGCUAUAAUAUAGGACUAAGAUAACAAAGCUCUAAAAAGACUUCCCAAAGAUGUCAUGGCAACAAGUAAGCCAAAAAUUUUAAUAAGCGCAUAGCUAUGAAGCGAGGAUACUAGUUCAUACCAAAUGAAAUAUUCAAAUUAACAUAUCAUAUCAAGAGGUGACACAAAAUCUUCAAUGAUUAUCUUAAUUUUCAGAAUGUAACUUACCUUGACCAUUUACACAAACUGAUAGUAAGACUUUACCGUCUACCCUAAAGUAUCGAUGUCGUUCACAUGCACAAGUUAUCUCCACACACACAAGAGAUUUACAUUCUUAAAUAAGCUUAAAUAAUGAAAUAAUUUACCCUCACUCUCCUAAAGAAAUUCAAGUACAAUGAGUAGAACCAUAGGUUUGUCCUUUGUGUUUUUCGCCACUAAUGUAGACUUACUUAGUUUGGAAUCACCAUGAUCUUUCGGGUCUAGAUGAAGGUUUCAGGUACAACAAGGAAUAUAUAUGGAUAAAGUAACUAAAAGACCUCCUUAAACUCAAUCCUUAUCCCCUUCUACCCCAAAAUUUUAAAGCUAUCCACCUUACUCUCCAUCCAAUCAUUUCCUAUAUUUUCCUUAACCUUUUGAAUAACAUUUACCAAAUAAUUCAAAUCCAUCAUUUUUUUCUUCACUUCUUGUAAUUUUUUUUAUUUUAAGAGACUUUAUAACUUUAAACUCUUCUUAGCCCCCCAUUUGUCUCAUUUUUUCCACAUUUAAUAGGGUAGGUUAUAUAACAUUAUCAUCAUUUAUGUCUCUUGUCUCUUCAGCACACGAUUUGACCACCUUGCACAUACCUUUCUUUUGUCAUCUUAGCACAUCACAUUCACCUCAUAAACUUGGAGUUCGAACCACCCUCACAUAGAUCUCACAAAAACACUAACCACCUUAAAGAGAAUGUUAAUUGAAACUUUAAAUUCCAAUAAAUAUUCAAUGAAAAUUGCUAAUUCUUCUCUUAGGAAUUACUCGAAUGUUUUCUUAGCUCAAAAAUAGUUCAAUAUUGUUCCAAAUCUAAAAGAUGUUACAAGGAUGAAAGAUUGUUAGAUAAUGAAAAUGAGCAAAAAAUCCUAGUUAAGUCCUAUUCCACAUUUUCCAAAUAUUAGAAAAAUGUAACCUUGCUUUUGAUCUACUUGAAUAGAUCCAAAGAAGAUGGCGAGCGAAUAGAAAGCAUAUCCAAAGCGGAUGCAAAGUAGUUGGCUUUAUUCUUUCACAUUUGACCUCUAAUUGGCUUGAACGGCUUGCCCAUGUUCCUUUUUUUAAACCUUAACUAUACCAAUGAGCAUUAAGUGUAAAAUUAACAUCAAAUCAAUAAAAAGGCAUGAUAAUCUAUAUAUUCAAUAAGAAGGGGUGAAUUGAAAAGUUUCUGUGAGUCAGCUAUUGACUCAACAUAAUCAACUUACCUACAGAUCAGUACACUUCACAAAAUAGAUUAGAUUUAAAUAAAUGAACAGGUAAAUACUCAACUUUAAAGUACAGACAUGAAAAUUUAUCCUAGUUUUGAACACCAAUGUGGUUCCUACUUCCCUUCCACAUAGGUUUUAAGGUUUUCUUAGAUCUUUCAAAGUCGGGGUUGAGUACAAUGAUGUGAAAAAAGUUUUAAAGACUUCUUCUACUCUUCAGAUCUUGUGACACAACUUCUGUUUGUAUUACAAAGUUGACUAAAUCCUACUCUUUAUAUAACUAUUGUGAACUAAGUAGUCCAAAGCUUUGUAAGAAUUAUAUUUAGACAAUUUGAGAUACUUUCAUGAAGUUGCAUGAUUGAUUCGAUCUUCAAUCCUCUUUUUUAUAUUCUUCAUCCUCAUCCAUUCAUAAGGAAACCCAAGCUAUUUGAUCCAAAUCAAGGAUUUGAUUUGAUUCUUUGAUUAUGGAAUGUUACCAUUCAAUAUGGUAAUAUUAGUUAUGUCCACACACGGUACUUAUACACGUCUGUAUUAGAUACAUCCAUGAUCUUUUUUCUUUUUGCUCCUAUCAGGUUGUUGUUGGUAUCUUGCUUUUCUUUGUGAGAUUUUCUUGGAGAUCUUAAAUUUAUUCCAUAUGAUUGAUAUUAUUCUAAGUUUAGCACCAUCCAUCUUGCUGUUGGAUGAUUGCGAGAUAUUCUUGCUUAUCUUGAAUUGAUUCCUUAGAGAUUCUACAUCUUUGAUGUUUCUUAAAUAUCAUUUUCAUCAAUCAUUAGAGAUAUUCAUUAUGCUACAAAUGUAUACUCAUUAGUUUGUUAUUUUUAAAAUAUAGUUCGGGAGUAUAGAAGGGUAACAAUCUCCUCCUUUUUGAUAAUGACAAACAAGCAUUAACGAUAAGUUGACUUCCCUGUCACAGUAGUGGGCUUGCUCCUCUAACUUGUAGGUACUUCCAAUGUUUUUCUAUUCCUUGAGAAUUAGUCGACUUGUUCCUAUUGAUAGUUGACUUGUUCCCCCUGACUUGUAGGUUCAUAUAUUUCUCCCCCCUUUGGUAUAAUAAAUAAAAACAAUAUAGAAAUAAUAAUAGUGACAUAUAUCAUAGAGAUAAUCUAAUUAAGUACCAAGGUCUAGACAAAAACAAGGAAAGGUGGCAAAUAGUAUGUUAAAAAUAUCAUCUUAAAACCCAUCAAAAAACAAGAGAUAGGACGCCUUUUUGAAUAAAAAGGUCAUUAUUCACUGCUAAGCUCAGAAGUAAGUUAAGGUAUUAUGCAUGUUAUGACAAAAUUUGUCAUAGGAUUUAUCAACGUUUUUAAAUAAAAAAGAGUAGGAGUUUAUAUUGAAAAUAGCAAGAUCAUCAUUGGAGGAGUUAACUUAGGACAUAAGAGAGUCCAUGUGGGAGAACACUCAACUAAACAGCUUGAUGCCCUUCUGUUUGAAUAAAUCAAUAUCCAAUCAGACAAUGCCUAUGCCAGGGAUUGUACUCUUCCCAAGGACAACAUUAGAAGUCAACUCAUAAACCAAAUGGAUACCUUUCUCAACAGCUUUAAAGCGAUCUUUGAUUUACUCUAAUUCCUUAAACACAGUAAUCAUGGGGUUAGAAACAGAAUUUCUUACCUUAAGGAGUUCAAAUUUUUCUUGGGAAGAAUACUUCUUGCACAAUUCAUUAUUAACCAAAACAUAUCCCAUGGUGAAAAAAGUUUUGGAGUCUUAAGUAGCAACGACUUCCACUGGGGGUAAGCAGAGAGAUUAACUAAGUAGUAUAAGAUAAUCCAAGAAAUUAACAUGCCAUAUGGUAAAUUAGCAGAGGCAUGAACUUUCGCUGCACUUUAAAGCAUAUACUCACGAAUCAAGGUUUUCCCAAUUUGUCUUAUGCUUCUUAACCAGACAGUCCAUAAAAAAUACAUCACAACAAAUGACGUUCCUGAGGCAUCCUUUCCUUGGAAUCACUGUGGUAGCCAUUAUGUGGUCCAUGAUGCAAUACUUGAAACACUAGGAUAGAGGACCAAAAUUGGAUGAUGUUGUGUCUGGGUCAGACAUAAUCCUUAUUUCUUUAUCAAAACUAACCAAAAAGUCUUCAGGCUACGUACUAUUCAUGAAAUAAAUCACACCAGAAAAUUUUAUGGAAAAAAACUUCUUGAACUAAAAGUUGUUCAGAAUUAUUCUUGUUCCAAGCAUAAGAGUAUCAAGUUCACCACUAUUAGGAGAGAGAUGGAGAUUUUCAUAAAAUAUGUGGAUUGGAUAAUCAUAAGCCUCAACUCCACAGAUAGGAAAAAUUAAGGACAAAUCUUGAAACAUAGAGAACUGAAUGACAUUAUAGAAAACAUCUUUAAAUUGAUGGAGAUUAAUGAUGCGACUGGGUAUAAUGGAGCUAUUUUUUAUCAUAGAAAAUUUCUUUUCGAGAGCUUGUCAAGAACUUGUACAUGUCAUUAAGAGGGAGGGAAUAUAGAGAGGUAGUUUGUGGCUUCUUCGAUGAGAGUUCUAGGAUGGGAGUGGUACAAUAUAUUUUGAUAAGAGUGGACUAUUUAGAAUCUGACAAGGAUUCAUUAGAGGACUCAGAGAGGAGAACAAGGCUAUCAGAGAGUGCUUUAGGAAGGGAUUUUGAAACAUUAGCCAUGGAAUGAGUUUUGGUCAUGGGAUAAGGGUGGAGAUAGAUUUUAAAAAUACAAAAAGGGAGAAGAAAGGAUAGGUAAGUGAACAGAGGGAGAGAGUGGAUAGUGUAGGGACUGUUGGGAAAGUUAAUAGAGGGGAAGGAAAAAGGGUAUGAAGAGAAAAGGUGACUAGCAGAGUGAAAGGAUGCUAGAAGAGUGUGUUGGGAAGGUAAAGGGGUUCUGAAGCGGAAAGGGUGGCAUGAAAGAUGGUAAUAAUAAUGAUGAGUUCCUUUAUUUUUGAAAAUGAAUUUUUGAUUAAAAGAUCUGAAGAGAAAAUUGGAGUAAGUAGAGUAAGUAGAAAAUUGGAGUAAGUAGAUUUGAAAACCAAUGAUAAGUUCCUAUGAAAUAUGAAUUAAUUUUUUCAUGAUAGUUAGAUGAGACUCUUUAGGAGUCGAUUGGAACCAGACACACUUACAUACGUUGAACAUAAUGUUUGGUCAACUAGUAGUGAAGUAAAGUAGUGAUCCAAUAGUUCCCCUGUACAUUUUUUUAUCAACAUCUUUUUAAUAUGAAUCUGAAUAAACACUCGUGGAUGGGCUCAUAAGUGUUCCAUAUGCCAUUCUUUUUCUGUGCCAAAAUUUUUAACGAGUUCCUUCAUGUAUUUAGCUUGACUGAUGAAAGUACCUUUGGUAGUUUGCUUGAUUUGUAGUCCAAAGAAAAAUGUGAGCUCUCCCAUGAGACUCUUUUCAAAUUCUCCUUUCAUCAAGUUUGCAAGAUUCUCACAGAGAGAUAUGUUAGGAUUUCUUAUUGAGAGUAGCCUUGAGCUGCAAGUCUGGACUUAUUUUUUAUAACCUUAACUUCUCCAUUUAAUUUGUUUCUAUAGACCCAUCUAGUUUUAAUUACUAAGCUGUUCUUAGGUCUGUUGACUAAAUUUCAAACUUGACUUCGUUCGAAUUGGUCCAACUCUUUCUUCAUGGCAGUGCCUCAUUGGAUUUGUUUUAUUUGAUUUAAGAUACAAGAGCAACAAAUGCUUGUUUACUAUGAUGCCCUUACCUGUACCCUAUUAUUUAGAUUUUUGAUAAUGAGUUCAUUUGGAUAAAUAGCAUCAUGUUUCCAUUCUCUUUGAACACUUCAUUUGACUAUUUAUGUUCUGGGUGUCGACUUUGGAAGAGAUGUAGUCAACUCGUCUUACAUAGGCUUGGGAAUUGUGCCAGUAUUGGCUUUAGACUAUGGAUCACUCUCCCCCAUCACUUCGUGGAUUGAAUUUUUGCAAGUUAUUCUUAUCGUUGUUAUGGAUGAAGUAUUUUUAUCCAAUAGGAUAAAAGUAGCUGAUAUUUGGUUUCUUUUCUCUUCACAGCUCAUAAGGCAUCUUUCUUAGAAUAGGUCUAAUGUGGUAUCUAUUGAUGAUAUAACAUGUUGUGCUUACUCCCUUUGCUCAAAAGUGAUUUGGGUGUUUGUUUUCUAAUAACAUUGUCCUAGCCAUUUCCCAGAGAGAUCGAAUCUUUCACUAGACCACACAAUUUUGUUUAGAAGACCGAGGUGAUGAGAAGUUCAGAGAGUAUCGGUUCUGAGCAUAAUAUUCCUCAAAUGCCUUAUUUUUAAAUUCUUCUCUAUGAUCGCUAUGGACAUAGGUGAUGACGUGUCUAGCUUCUCUCUAUACUUUUCUACAAAAGAUAUCAAAGUUUAUGAAAGCCUCAUAUUUAUGAGCAAGAAACAUUACCCAAGUAAAAUGAGAAUAAUUAUUAACAAUAACAAAAAAUAUCUUUUUCCACCAAUAAUCAUAGUCUUGAUGGGGCCAAACAGAUCUAUGUGGAUUUUUUGAAGGGGUUUAGUAGUAGACACAAUGUCCUUUACUUUGAAUGAUGUUUGGGUCUAUUUACCUAGGUUGCAGGCAUCACAUUUGUGAUCCUUUUCAAACAUGAGUUUUGGUUGACCUUUCACCAAUUCUAGUCUAGAUAAUUUCUCAAUGAUAUGCAUACUGGAAUGCCUAAACUUUCUGUGCAACAACAAAGUUUCAUUGGCUUGCAGAGUGAGACAGGUUAUGAUAAAAAAAUUAGGACUAUUUAUGCAACAUCCCAAGUCUGUACCUCAGAUGUUACACGACGCUUACGACCACAAAGGACAACAAGCUAACCCUUGACUGAUAUCUGCUGUGAGUAAUAAAACAUGAUACUAUAAUAAAUAUGGAAAAAUAUGUUGAUAUGCGAUAAGGUUCAAAAUCUAUAAAUACUAAUAAAGUGUAUCAACUGAAAUAACAAUCUGUAAAAUGGAACACUGUCUAAAAACUACUCUGAAAAGCCUCUAACUGAAACUGUCUGAAAGUGGAGUUGAUGGGACAAUCCCCUAACAAACUCCAUCUAUUGAAAUAAUUAGUCUACUAAAAUAAUUAAAUAAAAGAAUAUCUUCAAAUAAAGAGGACUCACUGCUAAUCUACUGUAGCUGUCUGAAUCUAAAUCUAUCUAUGCACAGUGGAGAACUUGAGCAUCCGAACCUAUGAUAUGAGACAUCAUAGCGCAAACAAAGAGUAUGUAUCAGUACGUGGAAUGUACUGGUAUGCUAGAUUAGGUAAGGCUGAAUGCAAGGGUUUGUAUGAAUGAACAAUAACUGACUGUAUGAUAUAGAGUAACUGAACAUGAGAGUACAUGGAUAACUGAUACUACUGUAAAUCCUGAGUAUGCACUAAUGUGCAUAUAAAUUAAUACUAUGACGAAUCUUGUCUAAAGCUAAGUCCUGAGUUCUAAUACUGAGUAAUGGAUAUCUGAAGUUACUGGUAACUUAGUUACUAAUACUAAUUGACUGUAUCUAACAGUCCUGAUUUUGUAGAAUUAAAGUGAGUUGUAUUCUGGAGAUUAAAACUGAGACUGUGGGAGGUAAUCAUCUAACCGCAUGCCCCAAAUAAGCUAAGAUAACUGAGUUGGGGUCCAACCUGUGACCCCAUUUAAAAGGGUGUUAGCACUAUGCCAUGGGUAAAGGCACUGAAAAGUUACCCUCAUCUGGUAGGUACUCUAAUAAGAACGGUGAAACCUUUAUCUGAAAGGUCAAAACACCUCAUUAACCAUCAACUGGUAGGUUUGAUGUCUCAACCUACGUUGGCUACGUAGUUCUGGAAUGCAAAGAUUGCUUCUAAGGAUCAUACCCUUUACUGGCAGGUAAGCUUCCAUCCUUGGGUUAGCUCGGUACUGAAUCCUACUCCCAACUAAAAUACACUGAACUUAGUAUACUAAACUGGACAGGACUAAAUACUGAGUUUUUCUCUAUUUUUUAACCGACUGGGUUCUAUUGAGUUCUGUAACUGACUGAAAGUACUGCAUAUCAUGAAUGACUGAGAUUCUGUAAUGGACACUAGCUCAAGGUAAACUGCUAAAUUUUUGGGUAUUAAAUACCCCCAGGACUCGAUAGCUUGAAAAAUAAAUAAUAAUAUACUCUUGACAAUCAUAACAAUGUAUACUUGUCCUUAGUUCACUCAUAAAGGCAUUUAAUCAAACACUUGCAAUGCAUCUACUUAUACAUGAAUGGGGAAUACAUGCUAUCAUGCUAUAAUGAAACUAUCUCAUUCACAUAGGCAUUUUAUCAAUCACAUAGGGAACAUGCGUAGGUUAUACAAUAAUCAAAACAUAUAGUUAUCAUGGCUACAUCAAUCAACUUGCAAAUUGAAGGGUUUAUCAUGAAGAUCAUAUAAUUCCACAUGUACAAUGAUUUAUUUCAUAAAAUAAUGUAAUUUAAUCGUGAAGUAAAAUCCAAUAAUAACAUAAACAUUAAUACAAUUCAAUUCAAGCAUGAAAGUUCAUAAUUCAACAAUCUUGUAUUUUUAAAGUGGAUUCGUGGACUUUAUGGGUGAAAUAAAACCAUAGAUGAACACCUAACAUACCUUGGAUUGUUAAUUCUUGAAGGUUCUUGGAGAGACUCUUGAUUUUUACUCUUGUUUGUUGAAGCUAGGGUUUAGCCCUUUUAGAGAAAGAAUGACUUAAUCUUUGAAUAGAGUGAAUAAAUGAUGAGAUAAUGGGUUAUUUAGCGGUAAAUUUUAUAUAUAGACUAAUUAGGGAAAUGGAAAAAAUCCCCAUUUACCCUUGAGAGUGACUUAUGAAUUCAUAAUGGAAAACUUAAAUUUGGGCCCUGGGGCAACGCGCCGCUAUCGUACUAAGCCACUAGAAAAUGACAACUAGGAAUGUGGCUAGUGGUGUGAUGCGGUGGAAUUAUGUUGCAAUACUGGAUGGGACCUGGACGCUCGGCGUGAUACGGUACAAUCGCGUUGGUUCACUAGAAAUUGAUAAAUAUGAAAAUAAUCUUUGGCGCGAUCCGCCGACAAUGUGGUACCUCACCGGAAAUUGACAAUUGCCAUUUUGGCUUACUCUGUGACACACUACUGUCCUGAAUUAUGCUGUUUAACGAUAGAAACUUAAAAUAGCCAUAACUUCUUACCCGAUUAUCAGAUUUAGGAAAAUUUUAUAUCAUUGGAAAGCUAAUUCAAUGUCCUACACAAUGGCAAACUCUAAACUAUAAAAUACAGAGCGUUUAAAAUUUUUUAUAUUGGAUAAAUCAUGAACUAAGAGUUAUGUUAAGCUUGAGAAAUACAGGGUAUUACAAUUUAAGACAUAAAUAUUAUGAACACGUUCAUCAAUGAGAGAGAUAUCUCUCUUAUCAAGUUUCAUGGAACAGCUUUCAGCUUUGAAGGAGACCUAAAAACCAGCAUCACAUAGUUGACUAAUACUGAAUAGUUUGUGUUUGAGGCUAUCUAUGAGAUAUACUUUAAUAAGAUCACAUUAGGAGUUGAGCUUUACUAAGCCAAAUCGUAUGAUGUUUCCUCUAGAAUUAUAACAAAAUCUUACUAUUAUCCCUUCUAUUUUCUUUAGAUCAUAAAAGUUUUAUUUUUUCUGGUCAUAUGUGUGGAUCAUUAGCUUUCAAUUACCAAUAUUUCCUUUUUACAGAUUUUAUGGGCAUAUUCAUGAAAAAUAAAAAAAAUUAUUUUAUUUAGGUACCUAAGUGAUCUUGGGUCUUUGAAGGUUGGAUGUGCUCCCUUUAGGCCUCCAAACCCUUACACUUUUAGGUUUUUGCUUGCAGUUGUAGGAUUUGUAUCAUUUCUUUCUAUAAAUAUAACAGAUAGGUACUCACGAGGAGAAAGAGGUGUUUGCUGAUUUAAACAAUUCUGAUGAGGAAUUUGAGUUGUUUUUAAAAUAAUCUGAUCUCAUAAAACUGUGACUUGGUGAUUUUUUAAUUCUCCUCAAUGGAAUAUUUGCAUAAUCAAGCUUUUCUUGAAGCAAGUCAAUUUCAAUUUGACAUGCUUCAAUUUCAACUUGACAGUUUCUUCAUUCCACUUUAAGUUUUUGUUUAAGUUGAGUUUUCCAACUUUUCUUCUCUUGGGCGAGUUUAUUAUAUUUAUCUAUAACUUUUUGAAGCUCAUCAAUUAUUAUAUAUAAGUUAGAUUCAAGAACAUUACAACUAUUACUUUCUUACAAUCUGACCUCGCUAGAUUCACCUUUUGCUAUGAAGCACAUGUUGACUGCUUCUUUCUCAUCUUCAAUUUCAUCUUCAUCACUCCAAGCUCCAAUAUUUUGAUUCUUUAUAGAUGAUUUUUUUUAAUUCUGGACAAUUUUGUUUAAAAUGGAUAGGCCUUCCACAGUGAUAACAAAGAUCAUCAUUUCUAGUGGAAUCAUUAUUUUUGGCUCCUUAGGAUCUUUGCUAUCUUUGUCUCAUGAUUUUACUUACUCCUCAAUUUACAAGAGGAUUUCUUAGAUAUUGGCUUCUUCAAGAAAUUCCUUCUUUUCAGUUGGUGUGGCAUUGAAGGCUACUAGUUUCUUCUUUUCCAACUUGUGGUACCUGUUGAUAUAAUUUUAUUCAUAUGCAUUCAGAUUAACUUGUAGCUCAUCAUAUGUCAUAUUGUGAAGAUCUCCAUCUUCCAGGCAUCCUUAAUUUCUUAAACUUUAGGGAUACUUCUGACAAGAUUUUAGACUUGCAGGCUAUGUUUAUAGAUCAUCUCUAAUAAUUUCAGCUCGCAUAUGAUUUUUCUAAAUCUGGCAAACAUUGUUUCAAUGUUCUCAUUUUCUUCCAUCUUGAACAACUUGUAUUCAUUUACUAAGGCAACAAUCUUUGACUUAUUGACUUUUCAGGUUCCUUCAUAGGUUACCACUAAUUUUCCCACAUUUCUUUUUAAUUUUUUCAUGUUGAUAUGUUAUCAUAUUUUUCUCCACUAACUACACAAAAAAGUAAGUUUACAACACAUGCAAAGUUUGGAUUACCUCCUGUUGUUAUUUGGUGACCUCGAAGCUUUCAAGGUAUUCUAUAUCAGUACUACUUGAUUCUUUGUCCUUGUCAUUCUGCUUCUUCUUAAGUCAUGGAAUUGGUUUUGGUCCCUCCUUAAUGACAAUCCAUGCCUGGAAGUUAUUUUUUUUACGAAGAUUCUAAAUCUGUUCUUCCAAUAUGAGUAGUGUUAUCCAUUGAAGAAUGAUGGUCUUGUGGAGAAAUAACCAUCUUGAAGAAGAGAACCGGGAAUUUGAUAGUUUGCGAUUUGAUCUUUGCUCAAGUGUAGUUAAGCAACAUUGAUGGUGAGACCUUCUCGGAUACAAAUUGAAAGUCAUGAAGGGGGUGUGUAUUGAAUAUUUUCCAUGAUUUAACUCUUGACUCUUCACAGUUGACUUACCAACAGAUUAGUACACUUCACAAAACAGAUUACAUUGAAAUAAAUGAACAAGUAAAUAAUCAACUUUAAGGUAAAGACACGAAGAUUUAUCCUAGUUCGGAGCACUAAUGUGGUGCCUACUACCAGUCCCCUUAGGUUUCAAUAUAUUCUUAGAUCUUUCAAAGUAGGGGUUGAGUACAAUGAUGAGAAACAAGUUCUGAAGACAUAUUUUAUUCUUCAGAUCUUGUGACACAACUAUAGUUUGUAUUUCAAAGUAGAUUUUAUCCUACACUUUAUAUAACUAUUGUAAACAAAGAAGUACUAAGCUUUGUGAGACUAAUAUUAAGACACUUUAAGAUUCUUCCUUGAGGUUGUCUGAGUGCUUCGAUCAUCAAUCCUCUUUUUUAUAUUAUUCAGUCACUUCUCUUCGUAAGGAAACCAUAUUUCGUCCCAAUCAAGGAUUCGAUUUGAUUCCUUGAUUGAGGAAUGUUAGCGUUUAGUAUGCCCAUAUUAGAUAUGUCCAUAUACGAUACUUAUACAUGUCUAGAUCAGAUACAUUCAUGAUGUUCUGUCCUUUUGCUACUGUCCGGUUGUUGUUGGAUGCUUGCUUUCAUUUGCAAGAUUUUCUUGGAGAACUUUAAUUGAUUCUGUAUGAUUGAUAUUGUUCCAAGUUUAGUGCUAACCAUUUUGCUAUUGGAUGCUUGUGAGAUAUUCUUAGGUAUCUCGAAUUGAUUCCUUAGAGAUUAUUUAUUAUUGGUGUAUCUUGAAUCUCCUCUCCUUCCAUCAUUAGAGAUCUACAAUAUCCUGAAAAUAUCUACUCAUUAGUUUGUCAUUUUUAAAAUAUAGACCGUAAGUAUAAGAAGCUAACAAAUCUAUGCUUAAAAAGUUCUAGAAAGUCAUGAAAUUGAUGACUCAUCAGUCACAAAAAAACUUACAAAGGUAUUUUAGUACUUAAAAAGAAAGACACCAAUAAUAUCAAUACAGCCCCCACUCAGUCAUCAAGUCUACAAUAAUCACUCAAUUCAGAAAUAAUAAUAAAAAAAACCCAAUAUUGUCAUGACUGAAAAUGCGAGUUAAUAAUGGCACCUACCCUUACAUAUCUUUGUUAUGUAAGCCCAACACCAACAGAGAAAUAUAUGAGGAAAAUAAGUAAAUAAGAGGAAAUAAUACUAGACAUUAGAAUAAAUUCAAAACUAUGACAUCAAGAAAAUCUCAGAAAUAUACAUCUCACAAUCCUAUAGAAACUCAUGUCAUGAUUAAUGAACAACUCUAACUAUCAUCAGAAUAUGUAGUACAAAUAUAUAUAUGUCUCAUAAUUGAUACAAAGAUCGGAAAUCUAGAAUACGCUUGGGACAAAGAACUCACCAUGACUUUGAAAUGCUCCUGACUCCGCAUCAAUAAGGAUAUAUGGGUAACAUUUUAAUUAGGAUCUGCACCAAAAAGGUACAUAAAAUAGGAGUGUGUAUGACUCACUUGUACAUAGUAUAUAUCAUAGACCUACCAAUAAAAGUAAAUAACUAUUCAAAUAAGGAAAACUACGAGUAACGCUUCCAACUACUUACUGAAAAGUCUCAACUACUUAAGCUAUACAAGCUCCUAACAAUCCAAUUAUAUAAUUGUAACGCCCUAAUUUUCCAAACCGGGAUGCUACAUGGUGCUCAUGACCUCGAAGGACCGCAAGCUAACCCAUGAUAGAUAUCUGUACCUGUACACUGCAUAAUAUAUAAAUAUAAAUGUAGAAAGCUGGCAAAAACUUGCCAUAAGGUUCAAAACAUCUAAAAAUACUCAAAACUGAAAACUGAAUACUAAUACAUCUGUCUAAAAAGCCUCUAACUAUCUAAACUAUGGAGUUAAUGGGACAUGUCCCCAACUAACUCCAUCAACUAAAAAUAAUCUAAAUCUAAUGAGAUAGUAAAAAUAAGGGUCAUCCUCGAAUAAAGAGGAUUCAUUGUUACGUCUACUGGUGCAAACUAGAUCUGGACUGCUAAGAGUGCUCUAGGGCUCAUGCUUCUAAACAAAUGGCGUCAAAUAAAACACCAUAUUACAAAUACGUCAGUACAGAAAUGUACUGAGUAUGCAAAUGAGGUAAGGCUAAAUGCAAGGGCUUAUGCAUGAACAAUAACUAACUGAAUGGUAUGAAAGAGCUGGAUUAGCAUACAUAGAGAAUUUGUAACUACUUAACAUCCUAGGCAUAAUGUGACUGAGCAUACUGGGACAGAAUCUGAUAACUUAUACUAAAUAUACCGUUAAUCUGAGGUUUUUGAACAUCGUUAGAUUAUACGUAUCUGAAGCUACUGAAACUGAUAUCUAUACUUAUUAAUACUGAUAAACUAGAUGACUGAGUCUACCGAUAACUAAUAUUAACUGGCUGAAUCUAAGAUCAAACCUAUCUAUCGGGAUGAUCUAUAAAUCUUCUAAUAAUGAUUAAGAUUGACUAGGCUUGAUAUUUAGCUAACUAACGGUUGAUCUUUGGAUCUGAUAUUAAGAAUACCCAAUUGAAUCUAAGACUGAGAUCAAGCCUAUCUGAUGGGUGACCUGUGUUGGUACUGAUACUCAAUAAAUUUAUGUGAGACCAAGCCUAUCUAGCGGGUGGUCUAUGAAUCUAUGGAACUAUCUGAGUUUCUCACUGAGAUUGAUGACUGUAUCUGACAGUCCUAAUUUCUGAAGGAAACUGACAAAACAUGACUUCUUGAAUUCACGACUAACAUCAACGUCAUAGCAUAUAUUCAAGUAUACAUGAUUGAGGACUUCAUACUAACAUAUAACAGUUCAUUCAGGAAGGGAUGCACAAUGUAACGCCCCGGAAAAUGGGUCUCGGAGCGUCACACGGUGCUUGAGGCUACGAGUAGCCCCAAGCUAACCCUUUGAGCCAUUUUUAUUCAGUUCAACACAAAUCAAUGGGGUUUUCAUAAAUAACCCUCAAAUAUCAACAGAGUAAUCAUCAUCCAAGGAUAAAAGAAUUUCAGAAAGAUAACAAAAUACGACUUAAUAGUCAACUCCCAACAUCUAUACUAGUCUGACAAACCUCGAAGAAAAUCAAUAAAACCAACGACCAUUGAGACAUGCCCCAACUGACACAUACUUAGUCAUCAAAUGUAAGAAAUUUCGUGAAACUAACAUCAGACAUCACAUCCUCAGAAUAUGAGGACUCACCACAACAGAGAAUGUAGAACAGUGUGCCCGAAGAAUCACUGUUGAACCUGGAACUGAGCACCUGAACCUACAUUCUAAGAAAAUGCAGCCGACAUUCGAAGAUGUAGGUCAGUAUCAUGGAAAGGAGCCGAGUAUAUGGGGGUGUAUGCAGUUUGUAUAAACAUCAUCAUCAUAAAUAUUUAGAAGAAAUACGCAGGAUGUAUGAAAGACUCAUGUAGCCCGAAGAAAAUCAUCAUAAUCAUGAGAGGAUGAAAUAAGUACAAUAACACAUGUGAGUCAUCAUAGUAUUUGUCAAUCACUUUCAGUUCAUCAAGAAUAUCAAUUCUCAUAAUGUAAAUAUCAUUUAAAUCUUUCGAAAGAAUAACUUUCACAAUUCCACUUUUACAUCACUUCGCCAUUCACCAUAGACAAAAGGAAACACACACACUGGGAGAUCCUAUAACUGACAUAAACCAUGUGAGCUACAUGGAGUCCAACAUACAACCCACGUUGGGGAGAGCCGUCCUAUCCUUGCCAUCGGAGUAGUACUAUCAAUAUCAAAUCCACACAAACUAGUGAUCACUAUAUAAAUCAGCCUCAGGGUCACUCCUAUAAGGGCACGUAGUUCUAUGGAAGUAAGAUCGCUUUACACCUCCCACUCGGUGCUAAAGAUUUCUCCCGAACUUAGCUUAGAUCAUUUUAAAGAUAAUCUACAAGAAAAUAAUUUCAGUAAUAUAUAAAUAUACAUCGGGAGCCAUCAUGCUUCCCAUCUAUCAAAAUCAACCACGUUGUGGAUUUCUUUCACACUCAAGUGCAAAACAACUCCAUUAAGACCAAAAGGUCAAAUCAUUCAAAAUAUCUCAAAUAUUCAACAUCAACGUGCUUAUAACACACACUUUAUCAAAAAAACAUAAUUUCUAAUGGGGAUUCACGACCCAAAUAUAAAAAUCAUGAUAAAUAUCAUUCGAAAUUCAUGCUUUAUAUCUCCACACAUGUAAAUUCAUCUUUCAGAAUCAUAAACAUCAAUAUUUCAUAAUAAUCAUCAUAAGGUAUGAGUUCAUGCUUCAAAUUCGUAAAAAUCAAAUAAAAAUCAUGCCUUUGUAAAGAAAAUUACUUUUGGGCAUAGGAACGAAAGAGAGUUCUUGUUGAAAAACCCCAUAUACCUUGAAUGAUGAAAUUUAGAUCAAUACUCAUUUUUGAGAUGUUAAUCGUUCAUUUGAAUGAUGGUUCUUUGAAUUCUUGAACUAGGAACUUGGAAUCUUGAAUACAUUUUCAGAAUUAAUGGUGAACAUUGGAGGUUGUUGAAGUUGGAUGUAGGAGCUUAAGAUUUUCUUUUUGAGGGAAUUUGAUGAAAUAUAACGUAUAAUGCUUCUAAUAGGCUUUACUAUAGGGUUUGGAUGGAUUUUGGGUGAGGGGGAAUGCCCAAAACGCCUCUAAUAAUUAAAUAAUUCUCGAAUCUAUCCUUUGGUGGAAUGUUUUGAUAGUCUGAAGUAGAUCAACCAUAACGUUUUACUCCGAUAUCCAAAUUGGAUGAAACCAAUUUCAUUACAAAUAGGACUCUCAUAUAUUUUCGUUGAUAUAUAGUAUCUCACCUAGAUCAUUGUGUACGAGGAGUUAUGAAUGUUUGAAGUUGACCCAAAAAUUUGCUUUUGAUAGGCUAAUGUAGAUCGUCCUGAACAUUUUUCUCCGAUCGGAAAAUUGGAUGAAACCAAUUUCAUUGGAAAGAAGACUCGCAGAGCUUUCCAUUGAUAUAUAGUAGAUCACCCAGGUCAUUAUGUACAAGGGGUUAUGAUCGUUGAAAGUUGGAGCAUAAAUACGCCAGGCCUCAGUACUUUUUCUUGCACGUUUUACUAUUUACUACUAUUCACGGUUAGAUCAGAAUGUUCAUAACUUGUCGCUCGGGUGUCCAUUUGGGAUGAUCCACAUAUCGUUGGAAAGCUUAUUCGAUACUCUUAGCAAUGGUGGGUCAUAAUAUGAGACAUUACACACGAUAAAUUUAUAAUUCGUUCUAGAAGAUAGAACCCAAUAUGAUUACGCACAAAAUUUCAACGAAAAAUUUCCUGAGGUAUUACAUCAUCCCCCUCUUGGAAACAUUCAUCCUCGAAUGACUCUAUACAUGACAAGAUUCGAUAGGGAAUAGAUCAUACAGCUGAAACCAUUUGUUAGACACAUUACCACAUCGUUUCUCACUCCGAAUGUAACAUAGAAUGUAUAAAUUCAAGAAACUACAGCUGAACACAUAAUAAAUGACUGCUGAACUGCUACAACUUUUAUCAAAAGUGCAUGAUUUAGGAAAGAACGGUACUUUCGGCUUGAUCGAAUUCGCAAAAAAUAGGUGCGGGUACUUGGAUUGCAUAUCCGCCUCAUCUUCCCAAGUUGCACCCUCAAGAGAUAGGUUUCGCCACAACACCUUGACCAAGGGAACUUCUUUGUUCCUUAGUCUUCGGACAUUGAAAUCAAGAAUCUCGACAGGAUUCUCAUCAAAAGAAAGAUUUUCUUGAAUGUCAGAACUCACAGAGGAAUCCAUUACCAAAACAUCGCUAAUAUGCUUUCUAAGCAUGGAGACAUGGAAUAUUGGAUUAACAGAGGACAACUCGGAAGGCAACUCAACCUCAUAAGCUACCUUACCAACACGACUAGGAAUUUUGUAAGGACCAAAAUAACGGGGACUAAGAUUCCCCUUCUUUCCGAAUCUCUUCACGCCCCUCAUGGGUGAAAGUUUUAGAUACACUAGGUCACCAACUUCAAACUUAAGGUCUUUCCUUCUCACAUCCACAUAUGACUUCUGACGACUCUGCACAGUUUUCAACCUUUCCCUAAUCAAGUUAACUUUUUCCAUAACCUCAAAUACCAAAUCAGGACUACUCACAGCCGCUUCACCCACCUCGAACCAACCUAUGGGUGAUCUACACUUCCUACCAUAUAAGNNNNNNNNNNNNNNNNNNNNNNNNNNNNNNNNNNNNNNNNNNNNNNNNNNNNNNNNNNNNNNNNNNNNNNNNNNNNNNNNNNNNNNNNNNNNNNNNNNNNNNNNNNNNNNNNNNNNNNNNNNNNNNNNNNNNNNNNNNNNNNNNNNNNNNNNNNNNNNNNNNNNNNNNNNNNNNNNNNNNNNNNNNNNNNNNNNNNNNNNNNNNNNNNNNNNNNNNNNNNNNNNNNNNNNNNNNNNNNNNNNNNNNNNNNNNNNNNNNNNNNNNNNNNNNNNNNNNNNNNNNNNNNNNNNNNNNNNNNNNNNNNNNNNNNNNNNNNNNNNNNNNNNNNNNNNNNNNNNNNNNNNNNNNNNNNNNNNNNNNNNNNNNNNNNNNNNNNNNNNNNNNNNNNNNNNNNNNNNNNNNNNNNNNNNNNNNNNNNNNNNNNNNNNNNNNNNNNNNNNNNNNNNNNNNNNNNNNNNNNNNNNNNNNNNNNNNNNNNNNNNNNNNNNNNNNNNNNNNNNNNNNNNNNNNNNNNNNNNNNNNNNNNNNNNNNNNNNNNNNNNNNNNNNNNNNNNNNNNNNNNNNNNNNNNNNNNNNNNNNNNNNNNNNNNNNNNNNNNNNNNNNNNNNNNNNNNNNNNNNNNNNNNNNNNNNNNNNNNNNNNNNNNNNNNNNNNNNNNNNNNNNNNNNNNNNNNNNNNNNNNNNNNNNNNNNNNNNNNNNNNNNNNNNNNNNNNNNNNNNNNNNNNNNNNNNNNNNNNNNNNNNNNNNNNNNNNNNNNNNNNNNNNNNNNNNNNNNNNNNNNNNNNNNNNNNNNNNNNNNNNNNNNNNNNNNNNNNNNNNNNNNNNNNNNNNNNNNNNNNNNNNNNNNNNNNNNNNNNNNNNNNNNNNNNNNNNNNNNNNNNNNNNNNNNNNNNNNNNNNNNNNNNNNNNNNNNNNNNNNNNNNNNNNNNNNNNNNNNNNNNNNNNNNNNNNNNNNNNNNNNNNNNNNNNNNNNNNNNNNNNNNNNNNNNNNNNNNNNNNNNNNNNNNNNNNNNNNNNNNNNNNNCAGACUCUUAUGAUCAGUGAAAACAUCAACAUGGACACCAUACAAAUAGUGUCUCUAAAUUUUCAAAGAAAACACAACAGCAGCCAACUCAAGGUCAUGGGUGGGGUAAUUUUUCUCAUGGGGUUUCCACUGUCUAGAAGCGUAAGCUAUCACCUUACCGUUCUGCAUCAAUACGUAACCCAACCCAACUCUCGAAGCAUCACAGUACACCAUAAAAUCAUCAACACCAUCAGGCAAAGUCAAAACCGGGGCUGAAGUGAGUCGAGUCUUCAACUCCUGAAAACUCUUCUCACAAGAUUCGGACCACAAGAACUUCACUUUCUUUUAGGUCAACCGAGUCAUAGGAGACACUAUAGAGGAGAAACCCUCAACAAAACGGUGGUAAUAGCCAGCUAAACCCAAGAAACUUCAGAUAUCAGUUGGAGAAAUAGUUCCAGGCCAAUUUCUAACAGCUUCGAUCUUUUGGGGAUCAACUCUAAUACCCUCGAAAGAAAUGAUAUGACCCAGAAAAGCAACUAACCUUAGCCAAAACUCACAUUUAUUAAACCUGGCAAACAACUUGUGAUCUCUAAGGGUUUACAAGACAGUUCGGAGAUGAUCAGAAUGUUUAUCCUCACUACGGGAGUACACCAGUAUAUCAUCGAUGAACACUAUGACAAACAUAUCCAGUUAUGGUCUGAACACUCGAUUUAUGACAUGAGGUCCAUGAAAGCUGUUGGGGCAUUAGUUAACCUAAAAGACAUCACAAGACACAUAAAAUAGCCAUAACGAGAGUUGGAGUCUUAGACUUAGUGUCUUUGACUCUAACCAAAUGGUAAAUACACCCCUUGGAAAUAAGUUUUCUAGCAUUGAGGUAAGUGAUAAAAUGACUCUUAGGUGACACAGAAUUCCCUGACUACUCAAAAACGGAUGCACCUGGAAACUAAAACUUGACCACUCGGGUUCGACAAUCAAUAGAGGCAUAAGAAGAAUACAACCAGUCCAUACCCAAAAUCACAUCAAAAUAUACUAUGUCUAACUCAAUCAGAUCAGCCAACAACACUCUAUGAAGAACGGUAACAGGACACUUUUUAUACACUUUCUGGGCAACAAUCGAAUAAACCACUGGGGUAGAAACUAGGAUAGGCUCAGGAAUAAUCUCAGGACGCAUUUAAAAAUUCACAGUAAUCAAAGGUGUAACAUAUGUGAAACUGGAUCCAGGAUCCAACAAAGCAUACACUUCAAACUGAAAUAUAUGAAGCAUACCAGUAACAACAUUGGGAGAGUCCUCCUAUUCCUGGUGGGAUGGGAAAGCAUAGAAUAUAUUCUGGCACUGCUCGCCAGCAUUGCUAGAAGAGGCGACCUAAAAUGUGGCUGGGCGAGUCGCUGCAACUGGAGCACUAACAGUCUGAGUCUGGGACUGAGGGCGAUAGUCACGAUGCCCUAGUCCAUCCUGUAGACAAUAUCUAACUCUGUGACCCAUGUCACCACACCAGAAAAAACCCCUUUUCUCACCCCAAAACUCACCUGAAUGAGCCAUACCACACUUAGGACACCGGGGAUAAUUUGGUUUACUGCUAGCACUGUACUGGGACCUUGAUGCAUAUGACUUGUUACCUUGCUCGUGCCUACCUCUAGGCACGGGAUCACUAGUAAAUAAUGGUGCUGGCAUAGAUGAAUGAUCCUGAUACUGAGGGAGACUCCCUCCUUGUGAUCUAGUCUGACCCUAUCCGUGUUGCUCGGACCUAGCUCUCUUAUUCCCUCUCAUUCUAUCUCUCUCUUUAAUCUUGUCUGCUUUAAUCUGUUCGGCAUGAUUCAUCAUCCUAGAAAGAUUCAUCUCACUAUUCAGCAUAGCAGACCUACACUCCUUAACCACAUAACUAGAUACUUCAGCCAUAAACUUACUCAUACUAGCCCGAUUAUCAGCUACUAAGUCAGGAUCAUACUUGGCCAAUUGAUUGAACUUUAGACAGUACUCCUUAAUAGUCAUAAAGCCCUGUUGCAGGUUCAUAAACUCUUCCACCUUCGCCACCCUCAUCUCCAAAGGGAAAAGCUUAUCUAGGAAUGCAUCCUGGAACUCUUGCCAAGUUGUAGGGACAGCUCCCACACCUCUACCUUUUCUCCAAGCAAUAACCCAGUGAUAAGCAAGGUCUUUCAACCUAUACAUAGCCAACUCCACACUAUGUUCCUCAGAUACAUGCAUCACCUAAAUAAUCUUCCGCACCUCCUCUAAAAACAACCAUGGAUCCUCAUCAUACUUGCACCCAUAGAAUUCCAGCAGAUUCAUCCGCAUGAAGUCACGGAUCCUGGCAACAGUAGAAUCACCUCCAUGCUGCUGUGGAGCCAAGGCUGGGUUGGCCUAAACAUUUACAAUAAUAGCUUGGGCCAGCGCCUGAAAGCCUGUCCAAAAUUCAGCAUGAGACAUAUUUUUAUCCACUGGGUCAGCGGGUUGAGGUUGCUGACCAUCAUUAUUUCUUCUCGCUCGAUGUGGAGGCAUAUUUCUAAAAGUGGUGAGCACGAAUCAAUAGCAGAGAUAAAAACUUUAAGCACGAUAGACUUCUGAAAGAAAGAAUCACACUUUUUCCUAAAACAUCUUGUAGCCUCUUGCUCAUAUAUGUGGCGCGCUACACACCGAUGAUCAAGACUCUACUUAACGAGGCUUGUUAGACUCCCUAGGACACCUUAAAACCUUAGGCUCUGAUACCAAGUUUGUAACACCCCGAAAAAUGUGUUCCGAAGCGUCACACGAUGCUUGAGGCUACGAGUAGCCCCAAGCUAACCCUUUGAGCCAUUUUCAUUUAGUUCAACAAAAAUCAAUGGGGUUUCCAUAAAUAACCCUCAAAUAUAAAUAGAGUAAUCAUCAUCCAAGAAUAAAAAAAUUUCAGAAAGAUGACAAAAUAUGACUUAUUAGUCAACUCCCAACAUCUAUACUAGUCUGACAAGCCUCUAAGAAAAUCAAUAAAACCAGCAAGCCAUUAAGACAUGCCCCAACUGACUCAUACUCAGUUAUCAAAAGUAAACAAUUUCGUGAAACAAACAUCAGACAUCAUGUCCUCGAAAUAUGAGGAUUCACCACAAUAGAGGAUGCAGAACAGCGUGCUCGAAGAUUUACUAUCGAACCUAGGACUGAGAACCUGAACCUACAUUCUAAAAAAAUACAGCCCACAUCCGAAGAUGUGGGUUAGUACCAUAGAAAGGAAUCGAGUAUAUGGGGGUGUAUGCAGUUGUAUAAAUAUCAUCAUCAUAAAUAUUUAUAAGAAAUAUGCAGGAUGUAUGAAAGACCCACAUAGCCCAAAGAGAAUCAUCAUAAUCAUGAAAGGAUGAAAUAAGUACAAUAACACAUGUGAGUCAUCAUAUAAUUUGUCAAUCACUUUCAGUUGAUCAAGAAUAUCAAUUCUCAUAAUGUAAAUAUCAUUUAAAUAUUUUGAAAGAAUAACUUUCACAAUUCCACUUUAGAAUCACUUCACUAUUCAUCAUAGACACAAGGAAACACAAACACACUAGGAGAUCCUAUAACCGACAUAAACCAUGUGAGCUACAUGGAGUCCAACGUACAACCCACGUUGGGGAGAGCCGUCCUAUCCUUUCCAUCAGAGUAGGACUAUCGAUAUCAGAUCUACACAAACUAGUGAUCACUAUAUAAAUUUGCCUUUGGCUCACUCCUAUGGGGGCACGUAGUUCUAGGGAAGUAAGGUUGCUUUAUACCUCCCACUCUGUGCUAAAGAUUUCUCCUGGACUUAGCUCAGAUCAUAACAAAGAAAAUCCACAACAAAAUAGAUUCAGUAAUAUAUAAAUAUACAUCGGAAGCCAUCAUGUUUCCCAUCUAUCAAAAUCAACGACGUUGUGGAUUUCUUUCACACUCGAGUUCAAAAUAACUCCAUUAAGACGAAAAGGUUAAAUCAUUCAAAAUAUCUCAAAUAUUCAAUAUCAAUGUUCUUAUAACAAAUACUUUCUCAAAAAAUACAAUUUCCAAUGGGGAUUCACGACCCAAAUAUCAAAAUCAUGAUAAAUAUCUUUCAAGAUUUAUGCUUUAUGUCUCCACACAUGUAAAUUCAUCUUUCAAAAUCAUAAACAUCAAGAUUUCAUAAUAAUCAUCAUAAGAUAUGGGUUCAUGCUUCAAAUUCAUAAAAAUCAUGCCUUUGUAAAGAAAAUUACUUUUGGGCAUAAGAACGAAAGAGAGCUCUUAUGGAAAAACUCCACAUAACUUGAAUGAUGAACUUUGGAUCGAUACUCAUUUUUGAGAUGUUAAUCGUGCCUUUGAAUGAUGGUUCUUUGAGUUCUUGAACUAGGAACAUAGAAUCUUGAAUAAAUUUGCAGAAUUAAUGGUGAGCUUUGGUUGUUCUUGAAGUUGGAUGUAGGAGCUUAGGCUUUUGAGGGAAUUUCAUAAAAUAUAACAUAUAAUGAUUCUAAUAGGCUUUAAUGUAGGGGUUUGGAUGGAUUUUAUGUGAGGAGGAAUGGCCAAAAUACCCCUAAAAAUCAAAUAAUUCUCGAAUCUAUCCUUUGAUGGACUAUUUUGAUAGUCUGAAGUAGAUCAACCAUAACGUUUUACUCUGAUAUCCAAAUUGGAUGAAACUAAUUUCAUUUGAAAGAGGACUCUCAUAUCUUUCCAUUUAUAUAUAUUAUCUCACCCAGAUCAUUCUAUACGAGGAUUUAUGAUUGUUUGAAAUUGACCCAAAAAUUUACUUUUGGUAGGCUGAAGUUGAUCGACCAUAACUUUUUGCUCCAAUAGGAAAAUUAGAUGAAACCAAUUUCAUUGGAAAGAGGACUUGCAGAGCUUUCCGUUUAUAUAUAGUAUAUCACCCAGCUCAUUAUGUACAAUGACUUAUGAUCAUUUAAAAUUUGAGCAAAAAUACGCCAAGCCUCAGUACUUUUUCCUGCACGUUUUACUGUUCACUACUAUUCAUGGUUCGAUUGGAAUGUUAAUAACUCAUCACUCGGGUGUCCGUUUUGGAUGAUCCACCUAUCAUUGGAAAUCUUAUUCGAUACUAUACGCAAUGGUGGGUCAUAAUCUAAGAUAUUCCCUACGAAAAAUUUAUAAUUCAUUCUAGAAGAUAGAACCCAACACGUUUACGCACAAAAUUUCAACGAAAAAUUUUCCGGGGUGUUACACACAAGGAUAAGAAUGCACACAACAUACUAUAAUUCAUUCACUAUGGUCUCUCAAUUAACACUUGGCGUGCAUAGCUUAUACUUAAUUUGGGGGUUUCAAGGCAAUAUGCUAUAAUGACCCAAUUUCCUUCACCCAAGCAUUGUAUCAAACACAUGGGGAGCAUGCUUUGGUCAUAUACCAAUUUCCACACCUAAUUCUCAUGGAUAAUCAAUCAAUAUGCAACUUGAAGGGAUUUAUCAUGAAUAUCACAUAAUUAUUACAUAAUAGGGUCAAAGUUUGCAACUUUAUAAUCAUAUCAUGAAUUAAAACUCAACAACAUAACCUUCAAACUCAAUUCACAUAAACCAUGGAAAACACAUAAAUAUAAAAUCUUGAAUUUAGAAAGAGGGAUUCUGAACUUCCUGGGCGGAAGGGACUCAAGAAUCAAAACUUCCAUACCUCAAAGGCUUGAAUCUUGAAAGAGAAUGUCUUUUCUUGAAGGUUCUUCAAUUAUGAAUGAUAAUUUCUUGGUUUUCUUAAAGGAGAGCUUGAAUCUUGUUCUUGGGUGAUGAUCUUGAGAGAAAACCCUAGUUUUAUUGUUCUUGAGAGUGGAGAAUAUUAAGGGUUUUUAAAACUGAUUUAUGAUAGUUAUGUAUGUAAGUUUUAUGAUUUACAUCGUGGAAGGUGAAUAAAAAGUGCAAAAACCCCUACGAAACUACCUCCUAGUAGCUGAAAUUAUCAGCUGACGACCAAGCCUAAUAAGCCAUCAGAUCUGUGAUAGCCCGUUGAUACGCCCAAAUUACAACUCUCGUUAGAAAGUGCAAGCGGUCGCUGUCAAAUAUAGAACCCAACUGGGUUGGGUGUCAAAUCCCACAGGGAAUACUAUGAUCACUAAGUAUUGCGAUUAUUAUUAGACUGUUGAUCGAAGGUUCCAAGGUAAGGGGGUUUGAGUUUUAGUGCACAUUAAUAUUAUUAGUGUAACGAAUGAGAUGAUAUGUGCAAUAAUAUUUGAUCAUAGAGAAUGACAAGUUAGGGUUAUGUCCACCUUGUAGCUUCUACUUCUCUAUUAACUAUGAGUAAUACGGAUUUUAUACAUGCAUGCACUUAUAGAGAGGCGUAUUCUAAUUCUAAAUCCAAGUGUUUUUCAACCGUCAAGGAUUUAUUCACUUUAGUUCUCUCGAAUCCAAAGUGUAUAACCACUUGUACGAACUCUCCAAGAAGUUAAUCCUGCUAGGGCAUUAACGUGUAAAAUAGAGGUUGGAAACCCUAUUUUCUUGUCACAGUCUCUUUUCCAAAAAGUAACUUUUCUAUCGAACAAGGUAUUGCUAUAAUGGCGCAUUCCCUAUGUUUGCAACCAUGAGAAUUCAAUCAAAACGAAGAGAGUAAUGAUAUAAGUGGAUUAACGCGUCAUAAAUUUAAAAACCCAUAGCAAUAGAGAGUAUACUACAAGGUUUCCAUAACGCUAACGAAUAACUUAGCUACUCAUGAAUAAAACGGGAAUCAAAAUAGAAAUCUUCAUCAUACCAAAACUUAGAACGAUCUUGGUGAUAAAGAUGACUAGCAACAAUAAGAGAGAAACACGUUUCUCUCUCUCCGUCCUCAAGCUAAGCCGCUCUUUGUUGUCAAAAUAAUACAGAAUAUGAAUAAUCGCUAAAAAUUCAGCCAUAAGGCUUUUAAUAACAUCCUUCUCUAAUAAAUUGCUACUGCAUCCUUAACUAUUUAAAAAUAUUCAGUUUGCCUGGGAAAAAGUUCCCAUACAGCACAUUCAGUCCAAAAGCUGCUUUCUUUUUUAUGUGAAGUUUUCCUUUGCUGUCCACAGGUCUCCAAAGUGCUGUAAUAUUCCUCAUUUGUACCUGAAAAGCAUGCUAAUCACAUAGGUCAGCUCACUUAACUAAAAAUAGACUAAAAGUGCAAGACUUAUGUAUUUUAUUCUCAAAACUUAGCUAAAACAUGGGUAAGUUAUGGUGCUUAGACGUAUAAAUACGCCCAACAUCACCACCCCACACUUAAAGCUUUGUUUGUCUUCGAACAAAAUAGUACAUCCAUGCGAAUACCUCACUGAACUUCACAAGAGCAACACAAAAUUUCCCACAAGACAUACACGGCAAUUAUUAACAAAGAGUAGAUUUCUUGAUCAUUACUAGAAACAACUCACCCUCUAACAUAGACUCAUUAAGUUGGUUAAUUCGUAUACCCAAGUUAAGCCAAAAAAAAUCAUAUAAAACUACCCAACAAUUAUCAACCAUGUGCACUCACACAAAAUGUUACCCAUAAUCACUUAUAGUUUUGCAUUUUUCAGAAAUAUAGGUAUAAGAACUUGCUUGCUCUCACUCUCACAAAGAAUUCUUAGAUUACAACUGAUGACCAUAUGCUUUCCCUUAGUGUAAUGCUCCACUAAUAUCAGAAUGCCAAGAUUAGGAUCAAAUAGGUCUUUACGGGUUGUAAAGUAGGCUAAAGCGACGAGUAGGACUAUUUUGGCCAGAAAUGGUGACUAUGUUCCCUAAUCGCUUUAAUACACUACAUUAUGCCAUUUACACUAACUUUUAACAACCACUCUACCUUCAUUUCAUCUACCAACCACUCUACCUUUCUUCACCCAUUUUGUUACUCAAUUAAAAACACUAUGAUGGGAAUAUACAACUCUUUUUAUUUUUUUAUUUUUUUUUUAAUAUAUUUUUUUUCAAGCAUCCCUAUGAUAGCCACCCUAAGUUUAGACUAUUUGCAUCCCUCAGGGUGCCACCCCCGAUCACAAUAUUUUCAUGUACCAAUAACUAAACUUUGGGGCAUCACUUUCACCAUUUUCUUCUUAUUUUGCCACACUCUUUACUCAACUUGAUUCUGCAAUUUAAAGCGCUUAGGAGCUUUUGGAUCAAAUUAUCGUCAUUUAAGAAAAAAUGGAUUAGGCUACAUAUGGGGUUGCCAAAGAAAACAGCUAAAGGCUCAAUGGGUGUUCACUAAGACAAUGUACAAAGCUAGGUAAAAAGAAGAUAAACAAAAUCAGGGCUGCCAAAGAGAUGCCUAAAUCAUCUCCUAAACUCACAAUCUUUAUUUCGCUUCACACACACACAAAGCAAGUUCUAGGAUCAGUCGCAACAAAGAAUAUACAGUAACCUUACACACAUGGCACAUGGUCAACAUAAUUAGGAGCAUUAUAGAUUCUUAACCCAACAUAUAAAUGAAUUAAACCACAAACAAUUAUCACAGAAUGAGUCACAACUUAGAGCCUAAAUGUUUNNNNNNNNNNNNNNNNNNNNNNNNNNNNNNNNNNNNNNNNNNNNNNNNNNNNNNNNNNNNNNNNNNNNNNNNNNNNNNNNNNNNNNNNNNNNNNNNNNNNNNNNNNNNNNNNNNNNNNNNNNNNNNNNNNNNNNNNNNNNNNNNNNNNNNNNNNNNNNNNNNNNNNNNNNNNNNNNNNNNNNNNNNNNNNNNNNNNNNNNNNNNNNNNNNNNNNNNNNNNNNNNNNNNNNNNNNNNNNNNNNNNNNNNNNNNNNNNNGGGGUCAUACCCCCUGCGUCAGAAUCAUCAUCAGAGUCUUCAUCAUCAGAGUUGUCCUCCACAUCAGAGUCUAGCAGUUGGUGAUCAUCGUCUAUUGGCACAUCAUCAUCUAGAUGUUCUUCAAAAUUUACCCCCACUCCAUACAUGGCCCGAGCAUGCUCAUUAAGCGGGUAGUCAUAGUCCAACUGCCGAAGCUCUACAUUAGUCGGCACACGACCCCUAUUCAUCAUAGUAAACCUAGUCAUGCAAUACAGAUGGCGAAAAAAACUCUCAUCUCGAGCAUGUCUCUCAAUAGUGGUGAGGUUGAUGCCUUGACCAGUUUCUGGAUCUUUGAUUUUUGUGAGAUCUACCUUCUUCGGGUUAUGUGGCAACUUAUGGUAUGCUGGCUUCUCCUCAAUGUGCUCUUUUCUUAAAAUUGCAGUCAACAAGUUGCCGAAGCUGAAAUGAGACCUUUUGUGCACCCUUGCUUUUUGCAUCGACGUUUGUAUAACUGCACCAAUGUUGAUGGGAACAUUCAUUAUUAGAGCAUAUACCAAGCAGACUCGAUCACGUGUGACCUUAGUGUAUUGUGUCCCAGGAAUCAAGCAGGAGUUGACUAUUCUUAACCAUAUGCGAGCUUCUCUUUUCAAACAAGCAUAUGGGUAAGUAUUGUGACGACCAUUAUCUUUGUGACAAGUCCACCGGGUCAUGGACCUUGAUCCACACAACGUAUGUAUGAUGGCUCUGUAGGGAGGUUUGUUGUAGAGCUCCUUGAGUGGUGAUUGAUCCACACUUGGAGUACCCAGGAAAGAGUUGAAGAAAUCAACGUUAAAUUGCAAGACUUGCCCCCGAAUCUUUACUUCAUUUCCCGUAGUCCUUGGGGACCAUUUGGUAUAAAACUCUCGAGUUAAAUCAAGAUUACAUUCGCCCAUUUCUCGGAAAAUAAAGUCAAGAUUUAGUGCCAUAAUCUUUGCCAAAAUACGAGGGCAGUUCUUUGCUAAACUUUCCUUCUGCAUAAACUCCACAUGGACAUAUUUCUUCACUUUAUUGUUUCUAUUCCAUUACUUCCCUUCCUCCUCCAUAACCCACUUGAUCCCAAAAGUGCAUCGAGGCACUUGAAGAGAGGAGGAAUCAGCCUGGUCCUUUCUUAACCUUUUUUGACCUUUUUGUGAGGUGGCUGCUUUCUCCUUUCCCUAUCGUCCUUUCGGAGCCAUGUUACAUGAGAUCAUAAUAGGGUCAUGUUAGUCUCAUUUCAUAAAAUUCACUAUAAUCGAAAAAGAAAUAGUGAUGGCACCACCCCACACUUAAUUUGUAUGCACAAAAUAAUUGAGUGAGUAUGUUCGAUUACUCAGACUUCAUCGACAUACAUGUAGAUGGUAUGUGCAAACAACAUUAUUAGUGCAGUCACACUUUCAACCCUUCACUUUACAUAACAAUUCCUCAUUUUGAUAUUGAGAAGCAGCACACAAUGGUUCUGUAAUCUUGACUAUCAUUUCCAACUUUAUUUCAUUGGGGCAAUGCAAUCUUUGAACAAGACUACCACAUAGAAAUCUUAUCAUGCUAUAGCAUAGAAACAAUUACACAAUCUUAUGAUUUUGAUUAACCAUGAGCAUCACAUCGAUGAACGAGUCACUCACAUAGUCAAGCUUACAACUCCCAAAAUUAUGCAUUAAACUUCAAUAUUUCAAUUCCAAAAUAAUAAAAAAAAUUAUGACAGUGAAUACCAAUCAAUAGAUGCCAAAGUAAAAUCAAGAUUACCUACGAGAAUCCUUUCACUCAAUGAGAUAUAUUUUUCAAAAAUCAUAACAAACUAACCAUACUCUUAUCACCAAGAACUACUACAAAAUAUAUCACUGAAACAACUACGAAACAUGAAAGAGCAACUUACUUAGUGAUAAAUUCGUAAUGAAUCGGGAAGGUGAGCCUGUAGGAUUAGAUGAGAAAAGUGAAGGGCUUGGAGGGUGAUGUUGGGCGGCGCUUAGGUUUAAGAAAAUUUUAGAGGGAUUUAAGGGUAGAGGAUAUAUUUAAUAGAUGAGGCAUGGGUUGGGUUGGUCCAUUCACACUCGAGUUAGUAGGCAAAAUUCACGUUGAUAGGCGGCGCCUAUAGCAUCGCCUAAGCCUAAGUAGGCGGCGCCUAACCUAUUGCCUAUGUUGGCAUAGGCGGCGCCUAGCCUAUCGCCUAUGUUUGCGUAGGCCGCGCCUAGCCUAUUCCCUAUGUGAGGCAAUGAGCAUAGGCGAUGGCAUAGGCGGCGCCUAGCCUAUCGCCCAUGUUGGCAUAGGCGGGGCCUAGGCUAGUGCCUAUGUUGGCAUAGGUGGCGCCUAGCCUAUUGCCUAUGUUCCAUCAUUCCUAGUCUUACCACCAUUGACAUGGCUCACUUUUAAGUUAAAAUUUGGGGCUAAUCUCCUCCUUUGUACUUCAUACACCUACACUUAAUCAAAAACAACAAAAAUGAUUAGAAGGAUGGGUUACCUCCCACCAAGUGCCUUAGUUUUGGUCAUGGCUCGACUCUUCUUUUUGAAUUUUUAUUUACCAAAAACAAACUCCUAGUAAAACAAAAAUUAUUAAAAUGAUGGGUUGCCUCCCAUGUAGCGCUUGAUUUAUUGUCNNNNNNNNNNNNNNNNNNNNNNNNNNNNNNNNNNNNNNNNNNNNNNNNNNNNNNNNNNNNNNNNNNNNNNNNNNNNNNNNNNNNNNNNNNNNNNNNNNNNNNNNNNNNNNNNNNNNNNNNNNNNNNNNNNNNNNNNNNNNNNNNNNNNNNNNNNNNNNNNNNNNNNNNNNNNNNNNNNNNNNNNNNNNNNNNNNNNNNNNNNNNNNNNNNNNNNNNNNNNNNNNNNNNNNNNNNNNNNNNNNNNNNNNNNNNNNNNNNNNNNNNNNNNNNNNNNNNNNNNNNNNNNNNNNNNNNNNNNNNNNNNNNNNNNNNNNNNNNNNNNNNNNNNNNNNNNNNNNNNNNNNNNNNNNNNNNNNNNNNNNNNNNNNNNNNNNNNNNNNNNNNNNNNNNNNNNNNNNNNNNNNNNNNNNNNNNNNNNNNNNNNNNNNNNNNNNNNNNNNNNNNNNNNNNNNNNNNNNNNNNNNNNNNNNNNNNNNNNNNNNNNNNNNNNNNNNNNNNNNNNNNNNNNNNNNNNNNNNNNNNNNNNNNNNNNNNNNNNNNNNNNNNNNNNNNNNNNNNNNNNNNNNNNNNNNNNNNNNNNNNNNNNNNNNNNNNNNNNNNNNNNNNNNNNNNNNNNNNNNNNNNNNNNNNNNNNNNNNNNNNNNNNNNNNNNNNNNNNNNNNNNNNNNNNNNNNNNNNNNNNNNNNNNNNNNNNNNNNNNNNNNNNNNNNNNNNNNNNNNNNNNNNNNNNNNNNNNNNNNNNNNNNNNNNNNNNNNNNNNNNNNNNNNNNNNNNNNNNNNNNNNNNNNNNNNNNNNNNNNNNNNNNNNNNNNNNNNNNNNNNNNNNNNNNNNNNNNNNNNNNNNNNNNNNNNNNNNNNNNNNNNNNNNNNNNNNNNNNNNNNNNNNNNNNNNNNNNNNNNNNNNNNNNNNNNNNNNNNNNNNNNNNNNNNNNNNNNNNNNNNNNNNNNNNNNNNNNNNNNNNNNNNNNNNNNNNNNNNNNNNNNNNNNNNNNNNNNNNNNNNNNNNNNNNNNNNNNNNNNNNNNNNNNNNNNNNNNNNNNNNNNNNNNNNNNNNNNNNNNNNNNNNNNNNNNNNNNNNNNNNNNNNNNNNNNNNNNNNNNNNNNNNNNNNNNNNNNNNNNNNNNNNNNNNNNNNNNNNNNNNNNNNNNNNNNNNNNNNNNNNNNNNNNNNNNNNNNNNNNNNNNNNNNNNNNNNNNNNNNNNNNNNNNNNNNNNNNNNNNNNNNNNNNNNNNNNNNNNNNNNNNNNNNNNNNNNNNNNNNNNNNNNNNNNNNNNNNNNNNNNNNNNNNNNNNNNNNNNNNNNNNNNNNNNNNNNNNNNNUAAGCACCCACCAAUUAGCCUUGGCUUGGCAUCCUUCUUUGCCAUUAGAUAUCUUAGAGCCGCAUGAUCUGUAUGAACCACUACCUUGGUUCCCAACAAGUAAGCACGAAACUUUUUGAAAGCAUAAACAACCGCUAGAAGCUUUUGCUCAGUGACAAUAUAGUUCUUCUGUGCUCCAUUCAAGGCCUUGCUUGUGUAGUAGAUUGGAUGAAAUAGCUUUUCUCUUUUUUGACCAAGUACAACACCCAAGGGUACACCACUUGCAUCGCACAUAACUUCAAAAGGUAGAGACCAAUCGGGUGCUACAAUAAUAGGGGCUUCAACUAGCUUUCCUUUGAGGCAUUCAAAUGCCUUCAAGCAAUCUUCACCAAAUUAAAACUUUGCCUCCUUCUCCAAAAGUUUACAUAAUGGAUUUGCAAUCUUGGAGAAGUCUUUAAUAAACCUCCGAUAAAAACCAGCAUGACCGAGAAAACUACGAACCCCCUUCAUAAAAAUUGGUGGUGGUAGUCUCUCGAUAACUUCAAUCUUGGCUCGAUCAACUUCAAUUCCAUUUUCAGAGAACUUAUGCCUGAGAACAAUGCCUUCCUUAACCAUAAAAUAGCAUUUCUCCCAAUUUAGCACCAGAUGGAAUUCCACAUAUCGCUGCAAAGCCAUACUCAAAUUUGCCAAGCAUGACUCAAAUGACUCACCUACAACCGAAAAGUCAUCCAUAAACACCUCCAAGGUGUCUUCAACCAUAUCAGAGAAAAUAGACAUCAUACACCGCUGAAAAGUGGUCGGUGCAUUACAUAGCCUAAAUGGCAUUUAUUUGAAUGCAAAAGUACCGUAUGGGCAUGUAAAAGUGGUCUUCUCUGAUCUUCAGGAGCAAUGCAAAUCUGAUUAUAUCCGAAAUAACCAUCCAAGAAAUAGAACCAUCUCUUUCCUGCCAAUCGAUCAAGCAUUUGAUCCAUGAAUGGCAUUGGGAAGUGGUCCUUUAACGUCCACGAGUUUAGCUUCCGAUAAUCCAUACACACCCUCCACCCUAUGAUAGGCCUGAGUGGAAUUAGCUCAUUCUUCUCGUUCGCUGCUACUGUCAUGCCCCCUUUUUUGGGCACUCAUUGUACAAGACUCACCCAUUUACUGUCUGAGAUUGGAUACACCACCCCUGCAUCUAACCACUUUAUGAUUUCUUUCUUCACCACCUCUUGCAUUGGUGGAUUCAGACGACGCUGACGCUCAAUAGUGGCUAUGCAAUCUUCCUCUAGCUGAAUCUUGUGCAUACAUAUGCCAGGAGGGAUACCAAUUAUAUCUGCAAUAGUCCAACCAAUAGCUCUCUUGUACUUCUUCAGGACAGAGAUGAGAGCCUCUACCUACUGUUCACCUAAAUCAGCAGUAAUAAUAACUGGCAGUGUAUUUCCACUGCCCAAGAACACAUUCCUUAGAUGACUGGGUAGCUCUUUCAAUUAUAGCACUGGUGGCUCAUCAAUGGAUGGCUUCGCCGGUGGUGAAGGUCGACUCUUAAGGUCAAGGUCCAGCUUCUUAGGGGCAUAAGAAUACGACCCCAUUGCUGUCAAAGCACAGAUAGUUUCUUCGUACUCUUUAACAUCCUCAUGAUACAAGUUCAAAAGCACAACAGCCAAUGGCUCAACCGUAAGCUGCUUCUUAUCCUUAUAAUAAACAUCAACUAUAGAGAACACAUUCAUAUCCUUGGGUUGCUUCAUUGAUUUGCAUACAUCAAAAUGUACCACUUCGCCAUUCAUCCGAAAUAAAAGCUCAUUCGUUCGCAAAUCAAUAAGCACACUUUCUGUUGCGAGGAAAGGUUGACCCAAGAUUAUGGGCACCUCAAAAUACAUCUCGCUAUCCAAAAUAACAAAGUUUGUAGGAAAAAUGAAGGUAGAAUCCUUUACUAAUACAUCAUACAAGAUACCAACAGGUCGCUUUACCGACCUAUCUUCCAUUACAAGCACAUGUUGGUUGGUGUAGGAUCGCCCAACCCCAACUGUCUAUAAAUGGCUAGUGGCAUCAAAUUAAUGCUAGCCCCUAAAUCACAUAAAGCCUUACAAAAGUCUAAAGAUUCAACCGUGCAAAGAAUAGUGAAAGCACCCGGAUCUGCCUUCUUUUGUACCAAAGACCUUGUGGCAAUUGCACUGCAAUGAUGAAAAUUAUCUACCAGUUCAUAGCUCGCUGCCCUUUUCUUUGUCAAAAGGUCCUUCAUGAAUUUGGCGUACCCUGGAAUUUGCUCCAGUGCCUCCACUAAAGGCACAUUUAUAGUCAGCUGCUUCAGCAUGGUCAUGAAUUUACUGAAACUAGUGUCAUCAGCCUUAUUCUUCAGUCUCUGAGGAAAAGAUGGUGGUGGAUUUGGAAGAGUUUUCUACACCACUUCAUUUUUAUUGUGCUUCCCAUUAUCAAUCUUUUCAGACUGCUGACAUGUAGGUGGAGUAUCAUGAACGUUCUCAUCAUGAUCUUUAACUUCAACAGAAUUAUUACGAUCUGCUUCAAUAACAUUCUUCUCUAUACUAUCAACCACGGGCUAGCCCUUGGAUGGAUUUUCCAACACUUUACCACUCCUGAUUGUAAUAGCCAAACAUGAUCCAUCUUUCCUUGGAUUUUGGACAGUGUCACUCGGUAAAGUGCCAGCUUUUCUUUGAUUGAAUGCCGCUGAUAGUUGACUUAUUUGUUGUUCCAGCUGUUUUAUUGAGGUGGAAUGUGAGUGAACCAAUUGAUUUAUUGAGGACAAAUCAUUUUUUACCUCAGUUACUCCCGUAUUGGUUGCCUCCACUCCUUUCAACAGCUUAUCCAUCAUGUCCUCCAUGGACAUCUUCCAAGAGCUAGGUGCAACAGCUUCACGAUUUCCAGAAGGGACAUACAAACCACUUCUGUCAUUCUUAUUCUUCCAAUUCCCUUGGUCUAGGUCCUUGUAUCCAGAUUUUUCAUAAUAGUUCCGACCUUGGUUUCCUUGGACAUUGCCUCGGAAACCCCCCUGAUUAUUUAAGUAAUUUGCUUCCUCCUCAAAAUCAGAGUCAUCUCUUCCCUGUGAUACAACAGCCUUGACCUUUUCUGUCUUCCCUGAUAAUAAAUGCUUGGUAAGAAGGUCCAUCUGCAUUUUCAUGUGAGCCAUAUCCUAGUCACGUUCCUCUUUUUUUCGUCUCUAUUCUGCCGUUAUGCCAAUAGAUACAGUAGAGCUUGCUACCUCAAAAUCCUGGUAUGGCAAGCUCUACUCUGCUUUGUCAUACGAUCCAGCAUAUCACAUGCCUCAAUAAAAUUAAGGUCCAUAAAUGACCCAUCCGCAGCAUUAUCGACCACUGGCGUAGUCACCGAGUUCAAAGCCCUAUAUAAUAUUUCCAUCAAGUGGACGUUGGUCAUCUGAUGAUUUGGGCAUCGCAUAAGCUUCUUCUUGAACCUCUCCCAUGUUUUGUGGAGGGAUUCAGUUGGAAGCUGUCUGAAAUUGCUUAUCUCAUCUCUUAAUUGUGCUCUCUUAGAUGGCGGAAAAAAUCUUUCUAGGAAAGCUUCUUUCAGUUGCCUCCAAUUGGUAAUAGAGUCAGGAGUUAACCCAUUUAACUAUAGAGUUGCCUCUUCAGAUAGAGACAAUGGAAAUAAGCGCAGCUGGAUCGCGUUCUUUCCAACCCCUGGAUUAUCAAAUGAUUUGCAUGUUGAGAUAAAAUUAAUCAGAUGCAUAUUCGGAUCGUCGCCUGCAAGUCCACCAAAUAACCCUUUGAGUUGCAAUAGCUGGAUCAUGGUGCUAGUGAUAUUGAACUUGGCUCCGGGUGCCAAAGAAGGAGGAAUAAUAGCCCCUGUGGCACCAGCCCCAUCUAAGUCGUCAUCAUUAUCAUCAAAAGCAACUUGCACAGCUCGGCGUUCAGGUCUCAUUCUAGCUUGACGAUCUCUGUUGACAUUCCUGUUCACUGGUGCAACCACAUCAUCUGCAUGCCUUGGAUUUAAUAACUCAUCAUCAGCUAAUCUAGCCUGCUCUUGUUGAGUAUCCAUCCUUUCAAGGUCUCGUUGCGCAUCCAUUCUGCCAAUGAGAUGUGGUUCAGGAUUUAUAGGCAAUAAUGGCUGACCAAAUCUUCGUGUAUUUGGCAUGCACUCCACCAAACCUGAACAAAACAAAAAAAACAAACAAAAAGUAAAAUUUGAGAAUCUUUGACCAAAGGGUCUAUUAACUAUCAUAAACUUAGUUGACAACCGUAUUCCCCGGCAAUGGUGCCAAAAUUUGAUACGGUCACUGUUAAAUAUAGAACCCAACUGGGUUGGGUGUCCAAUCCCACAGGGAAUACUAUGAUCACUAAGUAUUGCGAUUAUUAUUAGACUAUUGAUCGAAGGUUCCAAGGUAAGUGGGGUUUGAGUUUAAGUGCACAUUAAUAUUAUUAGUGUAACGAAUGAGAUGAUAUAUGUAAAAAUAUUUGAUAACAGAGAAUGACAAGUUAGGGUUAUGUCCACCUUGUAGCUUCUACUUCUCUAUUAACUAUGAGUAAUACAGAUUUUAUACAUGCAUGCACUUAUAGAGAGACGUAUUCUAAUUCUAAAUCCAAGUAUUUUUCAACCGUCAAGGAUUUAUUCACUUUAGUUCUCUCAAAUCCAAAGUGUACAACCAAUUGUACGAACUCUCCAAGAAGUUAAUCCUGCUAGGGCAUUAACGUGUAAAAUAGAGGUUGGAAACCCUAUUUUCUUGUCACAUCUCUUUUCCAAACAGUAACUUUUCUAUCAAAAAAGUUAUUGCUAUAAUGGCGCAUUCCCUAUGUUUGCAACCACGAGAAUUCAAUCAAAAUGAAGAGAGUAAUGAUAUAAGUGGAUUAACACGUCAUAAAUUCAAAAACCCAUAGCAAUAGAGAGUAUACUACAAGGUUUCCAUAAACCUAACGAAUAGCUUAGCUACUCAUGAAUUAAACGGAAAUCAAAAUAGAAAUUUUCAUCAUACCAAAACUUAUAACAAUCUUGGUGCUAAAGAUGACUAGUGACAAUAAGAGAGAAACACGUUUCUCUCUCUCCAUCCUCAAGCUAAGCCGCUCUUUGUUGUCAAAAUAAUACAGAAUAUGAAUAAUCCCUAAAAAUUCAGCCAUAAGGCUUUUAAUAACAUCCUUCUCUAAUAAAUUUCUACUGCAUCCUUAACUAUUUAAAAAUUUCAGUUUGCCCAGGAAAAAGUUCCCAUACAGCACAUUCAGUCUAAAAGCUGCUUUCCUUUUUAUGUGAAAUUUUCCUUUGCUGUCCACAGGUCCCCAAACUCCUGUAAUAUUCCUCAUUAGUAUCUGAAAAGCAUGUUAAUCACAUAGGUCAGCUCACUUAACUAAAAAUAGACUAAAAUUUCAAGACUUAUGUAUUUUAUCCUCAAAACUUAGCUAAAACAUGGGUAAGUUAUGGUGCUUAGACGUAUAAAUACGCCCAACAUCACCCGUCAUCCCAGGUCGUCACCUAGGAGAUGGAAUUGAUGGGUUACUAUCUAAGCUGACGACACGGCUGAUAAGUCAUCAAAAAUGUUGUCAAAAAUGUGAUAAGUUAUCAGAAAUGUCGUCAGAAAUAUGAUAAGUCGUCAGAAAUAUCGUCACUCAGUUUCCAGGCUCACAUGCUGGAGUAAAAUGGGUAUAACUUUUUGCUCCAAUAUCGGAUUUGGGCGAAAUUGAUAUCGUUGGAAAGAUAAUUCAAUUAUAUAUCUGUUAUUGGGUCAUGAUCUCAAAAAUUCAUAGUACAAUGAGAGAUAUGCUCAUUUGAAGUUGACUAUGGCAAUAUCCUUCCUAAGAAUUCAAUCGAUAAGGAAUGUUUUGCUUCGUCUGAUAGCUGGGAGUUAUUUGAAGCCUUCAUAUACAUCUGUUAUUUGAAGCCUUCAUAUACAUCUUACUCAUAAAACUAUAAAAGAAUUAUGAUGUACUAUGCAUGAGAUUUAAACAUGGAGCUAAUAUUGGUUUGGAUUUUUAGGGGUAUUACAAUAAUAUCCACACAUUAUAAUGAUAUCAUGGCCACAUAUAAGGAAGUCAAAAAUCAUAGAAUCACACACAUAAAAGAGAAAAAACAAUUUUGAAAUCUUAGUGAUAUGGUAUGUAAUACAGUGCUCAAUGCUUAACUCAUGUAAAUUCACCGAGUUUAAGCUUCCAAGAGUGGACUCAUGGAGGAUUCACAAACCAUAUACUAAGCAUAGAAUCACAAGCCUACCUUAUCGACACUUCUUUAUCUAAGACAUUUUGUAAGCUGGUAUAUUUAAUUUAUAAGGAAAUCAAGAACAAUGAUAGUGCUAGAUUCGUGAUCAAUUAGAUAAUAUAUAAGUAUGGAAGAUCAUGGGGAAUAUAAUGAUAUAUCAUAAAUCCCUUGAAAUAUAUAAGUGAAACUCCAAUCUCAAUUAUUCAGUAAUCAUGAUGCACAUUAAUAUAUGCUAGAAAGAUAGAAAAAUACAUUAAAGGAGAUUACAAUGGCUAAAAAGGAAAUAAGGAGCCAAUUAUAAUGAUCUAGCCCUCACUCGAGAAUUACACAUAUAAUCACCUAUUGGGGUAGAAUCACAAAUGGUAUGACAUGGGACUCCACAUAGCAUCAAUACCAAAAACAAAAAUUUUACAUACAUAAAAGAAUGUAGACAUUAUUUCAAACAACACUGAAUCAUAAAGAUGGAAAACUUGGAUGAUACCUGUAAUCACAGCAACAGAGGCUUUCGCCUCAGCUCUUCCAAGAAAAGAAUACUAUCCAUGCUUAUUACCCGAAUGAGUGACUCCUUGAACCCCUUUAUAAUCUUUUUGGGUCCUACCCCUUGUUGAUAACGCUCAACUUAUACGUCAAUUUAGUUCAAGGAGGUCUUCGUCAAUAUAUUUACCCGACUUUGGAGUCGGGGUCGAAUCCACGAGGAUUAAUGUGAGUGGCGACUAAACUAAUUUGAAACUGUAGCUACAAGUUGAAUUUAAAUAAAUGUUGUGAAAAUAUUAAAUGGGGGAUUUUAUAAAUCAAACAAUAAUUAAAGUUUUGACUUGCUUCAGAGCUCAAAACCAAAAUUUUAAUGGUUCAAAUCAGUGAUAGAGAGGAACUAGGGUUGUGAUCACUAUGAUUAUUAAUCCUCAUUAAAUAAUAAUUGUAGUAUUGGGUUCUCAUGACUUGUGGGAAACACCAAAUUAUUAGUUUCUAUAGUUCAUCUAAGUGUUUCUCAACCGGCCUAGAUGCUGAACUCCCUAAUUCUCUCAAACUUAGGAAAUCAUUCUAUUCAUACAAAUAUUAUCUCAAAUUAAUCAAUCUUGUUCCAGUAUUAAUCAUUAGAUGGGAUCUUAACCUUCCCAAAUCCUUGCUGAUAAUUCGCUACCUUUAGUUUAUUUCUUAGUUCGAGCAAAUCAACAUAAGGCGGGAUUUAUUAUUUACAACCAGCAAAGUAACAAUCAUAACAAAGGAAUUAUCAAAUUGUCCCCAUAAUCACUCAAACCCUAACCAAUUAUUAAAUCCAUGGGGGGAAUAAUCAUAGAUCCCACAACCCUAGUUGUGGGUUUUAGUUCCAUAUGAGAAAGAAAGAGAUACCAACAAUUAUAAUCAUUAUUCAAUGUAAUUAAAAUUACAAAAGAUGAAGUCUGAAGUGGAUUCUCUUCUAAGUUCAAGAGAAAAUUCCUACAACCAAAUCAAAGAGUUGAAAUUUAAUUCUAUGUUUUUAGCCCCAAAAAGAGGUAUCUUUGCCUUUGGAAUAAGUUUAAGAUGUUCUGCCCCUUCUUAAUAGAAAAACCUAACAUAUGCCUUAAUACUUCAUCCUAAUUAGGGAAAUAAAAUCAUAGAUCACAGUAUUUUCUCAGAAAGAUGACGAUGUAUGUGAUGGCUUAUCAGGAGUUUGUGUGUGACAGCUUAUCAGGAGUCUGAUACCUUAUUAGGAAUGUCAUCAACUCCUCUUCACAUUUGAACAAGUUCUAUCUUUAACUGAUGAUGAAUCCCUAAGGCCUAUCAGACAUGUGAUGACUUAUCUGAAUUGUCGCCGCUUCUUCACUUUAAGUUCUUAAGCACUUCCUAAGCCUGACGGCCUAUCACAGGUUGUUGUCUCUUUUUCCAGCUGAAUUGUAUUCUCUGUCUAUGGCUGACACCAACUCUGAUAGCUUAUCACAAGGAUGACGACUUACCAGAUAAGUCAUCAGCUAUACUUCCCUCUCUACUUGCUCAGAAAUCAACUCUUUUACUUCCAUUAUUGCUGGUUCUCUUGUACCUUGACUUUUAAUACAAUAUCUAAGAGAAAACAAUCAAAAAUGACAAAAGUUUCUUAAGACUUUGCAAUUAUUCUCAAUUAAAAGCCUCAAAUGUGUUAGCAUCUGCUCACACAUCAACACCCUCAACUUAAAAUAAUUGCUUGUCCUCAAGCAACUAAAACAUAACUAAGAGGAUACAAAGAACAUUCAGCAGUCAAUAAUCCAUUUUAGCUCAAAACAUCUUCAGCAUCUCCAAGGUCAAUUAAUUUAAAAAACAACAACUGUGCAAAUUAUUGAAGAGCAACAAUGCGACACACAGGAAUCAAGAUAUGGCAUCAAUUCAACAAAAACAACCAUGCAUGUACCAAGAUUACAUUAUCCAAACAAGUUAGCCAUUAGCAACGUAACUAGUGUGCCCUUAUAAUAACGAGCUCCCUCCUCACACAUAUGUGAACCAAGCAUGUCAAUGCGGGGAUGGUCAAGAGACACUCAGUCUCAGAAAAAAAUUUCAGUCAAUGUAUGCCAAAUACCAUAAGGUUGCCCUUAUUUUCAUUACCGAAGCUUUCAGACAGUUAAGUUAGGAUCACUAUAGGACUUUUCUUUAGCUUGUAAUGUAGGCUUGGGGCUGGUAUGAUACACAAGGAUAUUUAAAGUAACUAAGCCUCCUUGGCACUACACUAUUUUUGGGGUCUCACUUAUCAACCUUUACCUUAUUUCUCCCUUGUUUGACUAAAGCACAUUCUAGCUGGGUGCAGUUUUUAUUAAUUUAUUUUGUUUUUUUCACAACUUUUCUUUUUUUCAUUCUUUUUCUACCAUACCCAACCUUGCAUAAUUUUUUUUACCCUUCUUCAUACUCACUUUACACCACACACCCUUAUGAUAGCUACCCUCAACUUAGGCUAUUUGCCUAAGUCAAAGUGCACAAUGUCCAGAGAGGACCAGGGCCAAAACAGGUUCAUUGUGAUACAAAUGAGAAGGUGAUAGGUAUAAUAAAAGAAUAGGCAUUCAGGCUCAAAAUCAGGAUCAAGGGAUAUUAUUUACACAUGGAAAGUCAUUUAGGGUAAAAGUGGACUAAUAUCAACAACGUCCUAGGAUCCUUUCCUAACCGCUAUCCUACAACCAAGACAAGACCAACCGUCCAAGUUCUGGAUUUAACACACAACUAGAACUAGGUAGUAUCUCACACACACAUGGUACAAAUGUACAUCACAAAUUAGUACCUAUUCGGUUCAUGCAAUUGUUUAGCAAUGGUUAUCAUGUCACUAGUACUAAUGCCAUAACAAGAUGCAUAGUGGUCACACAUAAAUGCAUAUCACAUAGUUAUAAAAUAUACCAUUGGAGAGGUGUUCAAAAAAUCAACAAAAACAUGGUAACUUCCUAAGGUACUUGUAUUUCUCUUAGUCAACUACAACAUUUUACAGUAAAUCACAAUACGCCUAAACUUGCCGGCUCUACUAGCAACAAGACUCUGGGGAAAAGAGGCAUGGCAACAAAAUCCAUAAGAGGACAUCAACAUUCACAAGUAGCCCCACCCUCAACUUAAAAUCAUGCAAUAUCCCCAAUGCAUCAAACCAAAACAAGAGAGUUAGAAAUAUACCUGUGGCACCAUGGGUGAGAAGAUCUGAUGUCAAUCACAUAAUAUGAAUACAAACAAAAAAAUACCUUGGGAUGCCUCCCAAGCAGCGCCUGAUUUAAUGUCACGGCUUUUUUCUCCACCUUGAGGAUAUAAAUUUCAGCCCCAACUUAGAUUCUAUCUUCUUGCCUAGCUCUUAAGGGGGUGCUACAAAAAUUAAAAAAUCGAGUAAUGGAUUGAGCAUGGUAAACCACUCGGCCUUAAAGUGAGGUAUGUUUUUAUGUUGCUUUUUUAAUGUAAAAUCAAGAAUAUAGGAUUCUUGUUCUUCAUCUUCACACUUUUCUACUAUUUUAAAUGAUUCCACAGACAAGAUAUGAUCUAAACAUAAUGUAGAAAAGUUCUUUGAAUGAGGCCCAAUCAAUCCUACUUCAAAACUUACACUAUCUACUACACACUCACUUUUAUUCACCUCCUCGACAUCUAUACUUCGAAUUGGGCUAGAGUCUUUAUUAGAGAUUUUCUUUGUUUCUUCUUUUGCCUCUAGCACCAUGUCCUCAAUCUUGGCAUCAUCUCUCAUAGUUGGUUCGGUUGGUUGGGAAAUCACUGAGGGUUGCUCAACAUCAAGCUUAACACAAUAUAGGGUUAUUGCUCCUCAUCUUUCCACUUUUCCAUUAGUUUAAAUGAAUCCAUAGAGAAGAUAUCAUCUAAACAUAAUAUAGAAGAAUGCUUUAAAUGAUUGACCUCUAUAUCUAUCUUCUCAUGAAUGAUUGACUUCAUCUCUUGAUGCAUAUCACAUACGAUAUCAUACGUUUCUUUCUGGAGAUCCAACAUUCAUUUAAACAUAGAUUUAAUGCCACUCUUACCGGUACUUCGUUCUUCCUUUUCUUGACCAUAAGACCUAUCAAACACAUAGAAGAACUAGAAUUUACGUUAGCACAAUAGGGGGAUGGGGAAUUUGGGAAAUCACUCUAAUGUCCAUCUUGACCACCACAUAAAGAAUAAUCAUACUCCCGGUAGAAUGGAGAUGGUGCACGCAUCUCUCUUUGAGGAGCAUAGCUACAAUCUUGCCAAAAGUGAGGUUCAUCACAAUAUGGACAUAGAUUAUCAAGAUAAAAUUUUCGACCACCAAGCUCAUGUUCAUUCCACAAUGCCAUAGUAAUAAGUAAACUAAAAUAAAAAUCUACCUAACACAAGAAAUAAAAGAAAACUAAAAACAAAUAUUUCCAAGUUUGAAUUCAAUCAAGUAGGCUAAAAUUCUAAACCAACUUAAUACGCCAAAUUAUUCCCCGGCAACGAUGCCAUUUUGGAUAAUGCUCAACUUACACGUUAAUUUAGUGCAAGGUAGUCAUCAUCAAUAUAUUUACCCAAGUUUGGAGUCAGGGUUGAAUCUACGAGGAACAAUAUGAGAGGAGAUUAAACUAACUUGAAACUAUAGCUACAAGUUGAAUUUAAACAAAUGUUCCAAAAAGAUAAAAUGGGGGGUUUUAUCAAUCAAACAAUUAUUAAAGUUUUGACUUGUGUCAGAUCUCAGAACUAAAAUUUCAAUGGUUCAAAUCAUUGAUAAAAAGGAACUAGGGUUGCGAUCACUAUGAUUAUUAAUCCCCAUUAAAUAAUAACUGUAGUAUUGGGUUCUCAUGACUUGUGGGAAACACCAAAUUAUCUGUUUCAACUGUCCAUCUAAGUGUUUCUCAACCUGCCUAGAUGUUGAACUCCCUAAUUCUCUCAAACUUAGGAAAUAAUUCUAUUCAUACUGAUUUUAUCUCAAGUUGAUCAAUCUUAUUACAGUAUUAAGCAUUAGAUGGGAGCUAACCUUCCCGAAUCCUUGUUGAUAAUUCUCUACCUUUAGUUUAUUUCUCAAUUCAAGCAAAUCAACAUAUAGUGGGAUUUAUUGUUUGUAACCAAUAAAUAAAAAUCAUAACAAAGGAAUUAUCAAAUUGUCCCCAUAAUCACUCAAACCCUAACCAACUAUUAAAUCCAUAGGGAAAUAAUCAUAAAUCCCACAACCCUAGUUGUGGGAUUUAGUUCCACAUUAGAAAGAAAAAGAUAACAACAAUUAUAAUCAUCAUUCAAAGUAAUUAAACUUACAAAAGAUGAAGUCUGAAGUAGAUUCUCUUCUAAGUUCAAGAGAAAAUUCCCACAACCAAAUCAAUGAGUUGAAAAUUGACUUCUAAAAUUUUAGCCUCAAAAAGAGGUGUCUUUGCCUUUUGAAUAAGUUUAAGAUGUUACACCCCUUAUUAUUAUAAAACCCUAACAUAUGCUUCAAAUAGAUCAUCCUAAUUAUGGAAACAAAAUCAUAUAUCAUGGUAUUUUCUCAGACAGAUGACGAUGUGAGUGAUGGCUUAUCAGGAGUCUGAUGCACUAUCAAGAAUAUCAUCAGCUCCUCUUCACAUUUGAACAAGUUUUGUCUUCAGCUGGUGAUGAAGCCUGCCAGCUUAUUAGACAUGUGACGACUUAUCAGAAUUGUCGUCGCUUCUUUACUUCAAGUUCUGAAGAACUGCCUAAGUCUGACGAUGAGCCUGAUGACUUAUCAUAACUCUGACAGCCUAUCACAGGUUGUCAUCACUUCUUCUUGCUGAAUCUUAUUCUCUGUCUAAGGCUGAUGGCAACUCUAAUAGCUUAGGAUAAGGCUAACAACUAAUCAGACAAGUCGUCAGCUAUACUUCCCUCUUUACUUGCUCAGAAAUCAAGUCAGCUAUACUUCCCUCUUUACUUGCUCAGAAAUCAAGUCAGCUAUACUUCCCUCUUUACUUGCUCAGAAAUCAACUCUUUUACAUCUGUUAUUGCUGGUUCUCUUGCAUCUUGACUUUUACUGCUAUAUCAAAGAGAAAGAAAUCAAAAACAGCAAAAAUUGCUUAAGACUUUGCAAUUAUUAUCUAUUAAAAACCUCAAAUGUGUUAGCAUCUGUUCACAUAUCAUGUGUGCCUCAAGAUAUACCUCUACCACCCUUUGCACCCUAUCUAGAUAAAGGCAGUGGUUUAGGACAAAUAUUAUGUUUCAUACUCUAUUAUAGAGGACCUGUAAUAUAUCUGGAGUCAUAUUUAGCAAACUACUAAAGACCAAGUCUAUUCGGCAGAUGUAACAAGGUAAUGACAACAAAAGUGGUCCCAAACAAACCCUUGAUACUGGAAUAAAUCAUGAGUGGCUAAAUAGAGACAUAUAAACUGAAAAGAAAAAACUUUGUGGAAUCUUAAGCAUGAUAUAAUGUGCGAACCUACAAUUUUAUGAAAUGACUAAAAUUUCUUACCAUAGUUAUAUCACAAAGAAAGUAUAAAAGAAACUGAAUAUAAAUAUUACUGACUGCUUGUUUAUAAAGCCUCUACUUAUAUGACUAUAGUUAGUCCGUACAUAAACCCCAACUAUCUCUAAUCAGUGAUAAGAUUGGAAAUAAAAUGAUCUGAUUAUUAAAGUUCGAGUGGUGUUUCAAAAUGACGACAACCCAUUACCUACUAAAUGAAAGUUUUUAUCUACCAGACCAUGAUUGUUUAAGCUGGAACUGAUACUCAUGCAAGCUAGAACUUAUACAUAUAUUAUAAAAUAAUACAGUGAGAGGAAAGUAUGUUGUCAGUACUUUGAAUGUAAUGAAAAUGGGAGAUAUGUAAUUAUCAUGAAUAACUCUUAAACCAUCCUAUAAAUAUUGAGAAUAUAAAUCAUUUACUGUUAUAUGAAAUAAAUCAUGUAUGUACUGAAAAGUUGUAAGACACAAUAAAGUCUCUGAUUCAUGAUUAAAAAUAUUUUUGUAAACUGGAAAGCUAUAGAAGCGUAAAUAUUUUGUAUGAUUUAAAACUAAUAUUUAACAUGCAUAAAUCUAUAAAACAUAGAUAAUUCUUUAAGUAUUAAAAUAACUUAGUUAAAUACAUUUAAACCAUACACAAUAACUUUUAAUGGGAAUCAUAAUCAUAAAAUAUUAUAAGGAAACUAAAAUUAAAGAAUUUGACAUAAUUAGGUGAGAACCCUGGAUCAUGAGUUAAUAAUAAUCAAAUUGAAAAUCAUAAUCUAGAACUAUGUUUUGCACAUAAGGGUGAAUAGAAUGUCUUAUUAAUACCCACAUACCUGACUAUAGAAGAUUCUUAAACUAAAACAUGAAGGACUUGAACUUGGGAAUGAACCUUAUGUUUUGUAAACUUGGGAGAAAUAGAGAGCUUUUCAAUUACUUCUUUUUUAUGAUUGGAAGUAUCAUCGAUAUUAACAAGAAUAAGUAAAUUUAUUUCCCUUUAAUCCCCCCUGAAAGAGUCAAAACAACAUAGUUCAUGUCUUAAAAAAGUAGGAAAAGACCUACAACCUUUUAAAAAUAUUUUGGAAAGAUGUAGGUGUCGGAUACCACAAACGAGUUGGGACAUAGAGAACAAUUCAUGAUCAAACUCGUGGUUUCAUACCCUUUUUGACACUUCUUUGAAAAUUCAAAGCGAGUCCAACAAGGACUCGUUACUUUAACAAAUGACACGUUCCUUCAGUUGAUGACUCAUUCUGUUGAGCCAUGGACACUAAUAUCUUUUGCAAUGCUUCACUAAAAUAAGCAAUGAUUUUUACUCUGAAAUCAAAUUGACAAGUGGUUGAUGGAGUUUCUAAUAUUUAAAUACCUUUAAUUUGGUGGUUACUAAGACACAUAACUUUUUCUUAUACUAGGAGUAGUAAUCUUUUAAAGUUGAUACAAGUAGAAUCUUAUAUUAAAAAUUAGGUGGGAAAGGAGUUUUCAACUCAACUCUAUGUUAGAGACUUCUUAUGACCUUAAAUUUCAUCAGCUCAACUUUGUGGUAGAGACUUCUUGUGAUAUUAAAAUUCAUCAAAUACUCUUAUUGUUCUUAUUUUUAUGGUUCUUGAUAGUUGACAACUUGUGUAUUUAGGAAAAUGAUAGUUGAAACUAGAUAGACAUCCUAUGAGCCAAAGUACAACUCAUAGGUAGAUACCCCAACUCGUGGUCUUUGUAGUGGUGCAUGGGACCGAUUUUUAAUCCAAUAGAAUUUCUCCAUAAUAAUUAGUACAAGCCAAUGAAGGGCUCAUACAUGAUCUCAAGGAAUGUGGUAUAGUCUCUAUUGAGGAAAAACUUUGAUUUCUUCAAGUUUUCUGUUAUAAGUCUAAUUCCUAAGCAUGGGAACUUUUGAUGUGCUACAUAAAGUGACAAAAAUCAUCACAAUUAUAGAAUCCAAUGUCAAAGGAUGAAAACUAAGAUAGACCAAAAGAAGAAGAAUGUCCUUCAUAACCUAAAGAGCAAAAAAGAGAUCCUCAACCUACUUGACCCAAUCUCGAACCACUCAUAGCCUAAAAAUGUAUAAUUCAAACAUUUGCAAUGUUUCUUGAACUAUACUUCAAUAGUAACCAUUACAACAUUAGCUUGAAGAAUCCUAACAUCGAGAUGAGUACCACUCACCCCUAUUGAAUCUUUUAUCAAUAAUCGAGUCACCUACCAAGGUAAAAAUAAAAAAAGAUCUGAAAAAACCUCAGGAUCAAAACCAAAGCACAGAGCCACUUAUGUCGUCAUAUAGAAAAGAGUGGACCUCGGAUCAAAUAGAUAAUACAUGUCACGAGGAAAGAGUUAUAACGUACCAGUCACGACAAUAGGUGAUGCCUCAGAUUCCUAUCGAGAUGUAAGAGCAUGCAACUUAUUUCGGCCAGUAUCGGUAGUACAAGCAGGAGAAGUGCAGAAGCAACACUACUAGGAAGAAAUGAUGGACAACGGGACUCCAUGAAAUCUUACAAACUCUCUAAUAUAGAGCUUGGAAUAGUCCUUGGCUGAAAAAGAAGUAUGGAUUUGAAGGAAAUGGGUUAUUUGGUCAUCCUGUCCAUAAUGACCCGAAUCGAAUCAUGCUGAUGAAAAGUAUGAGGAAAUCCCAUCACAAAGUCCAUGUUCACCUCUUCCCACUUCCAAGUGGGAAUACUAAACUCCUGCAUAAGGCCACUAGGCUUCUAAUGCUCAAUAUGUACAUACUGACAAAUAGGAAACUUAUCUACAAACUCUACCAAUAGAUCUCCCGCAAAUCACAAUACAUCUUAGUAUCCCCUGGAUGAAUAGAGUAACGUGCACCAUGCUCUUCUGUAAGAAUUCGCCGUCUCAACCCAUCUAUAAAUGACACACACAGUCUACUCUUGCAACGUAACACACUAUCUCUCUCUUUGGAGAAAACCUCUACUUUUUUAUCUCUAACAGACUCCUUCAGCUUUACUAGACCGAGGUCCCUAUCUUUCUUUUCCUUCACUUUGGUAGCUAAAGAAGAUUCCAAACUAGUCUACACCCAAACACUACCCUUAGCUGAGUCAACCAAACGAACUCCUAUACUAGCCAACUAAUGAACCUACAAAACCAACUACUUCUUAUCAUUCUCAACAUGAGCAACACUACCCAUAGAUAAUAUACUAAGAGCAUCUACCACAAUAUUGGCCUUGCCCAAAUGAUAGAAAACACUCAUAUCAUAAUCCUUCAAAAAUUCUAGCCACCUUCUCUGAUGAAGAUCUAACUCUCUCUGCAAAAAUACAUACUACAAACUCUUGUAGUCUGUGAACACAUUAACAUACACCCCAUACAGAUAAUUCCUCUAAAUUUUCAUCACAAACACAAUAGCUGCUAACUCAAGACCAUGAGUAGGAUAAUUCUUUUUAUAAGGUUUAAGCUAUCUAAAGGCGUAAGCUAUGACCUUACCUCUCUGCAUCAAAACACAAUCCAAACCAACUUUGGAAGCAUCAUAAUAAAAAACAAACCCAUUUGAAAGAUUCAAGCAAUGUUAAAACUGGGGCUAAGGUGAGUCGAGUAUUUAACUCCUAAAACCUCUUCUCACAAGAAUUUGACCACUGAAACUUGACUUUUUUUUGAGUCAUUUUGGACAUAGGGGAUGCAAUAGAUGAAAACCCUUCAACAUACCAUCUGCAAUAGCCAGCCAAACCUAAGAAACUCCUAAUUUCUAAUGGAGAAAUAGGUCUGGGCCAGUUUCUUACUACUUUUGUCUUUUGAGGGUCAAAUCUAAUUCCAUCAAUGGAAAUAAUAUAGCCAAGGAAAGCUAUUGAUCUUAGACAAAACUCAUACUUACCAAAUUUAGCAAAUAACUGAUGGGUUCUAAGAGUCUGGAAUAUAAUUUUGAGAUGGUCUGCAUGAUCGUUUUCAUUACAGGAAUAGACAAUGAUAUCAUCUAUGAAGAUUAUAAUAAACAUUUCCAAGUACUGUUCGAACAUUCGGUUUAUCAAGUCCAUGAAAUCUGUUAGGGUAUUCGUAAGACCAAAUGACAUAACUAGAAAUUUAGAGUGACCAUAUUUAGUUCUGAAAGCUAUUUUCGGAAUGUCACAUUUUGACUCUGAGCGAAUGAUAGCCGGAUCUGAGGUCCAUUUUAGAUAAAUAGAUGUUACCCUAAAGUUGAUCGAACAAGUCAUCAAUAUUGGGGUGUGGGUAAUUAUUCUUGAUUGUGCUUUGUUAUGCUGACUGUAAUCAACGCAUAUUAUGAGAGAACUGUAUUUCUUACGCAUGAAAAGGACUGGAGCUCCACAUGGGGAAAUACUGCUCUAAUGAACCCCUUAUCUAGAAGGUCUCUUAAUCACUUUUUCAACUCUUUGAGUUCUGCUAGAUCCAUUCUGUAUGAAAGAAUAAAGAUAGGUUGUGUAUCCAAAAAAAGGUCUAUUUUGAAGUUAACUUCCCUUUCGGGAGGAACUCUCGGAAGAUCUCUGGGAAACACAUCUGGGAAUUCCCUCAGUACUAAAACUGACUCAAGACUAGGAGUCUUGGAAUUGGAGUCCUUAACUCAAACAAGGUUCUAGAUAUACCCCUUAGCUUUCAUUGUUCUCACUCUAAGCUACGAAAUAUUUUGACCCCUAAAUGUUGUAGUACUACCCUUCCAUUUAAGGACUGGUUCAUUUGGAAAAUGAAUAUGAACAACUCUAUUUCUAUAAUCAACUGAGGCAUAGCAAGAGCGGAGCCAAUCCAUGCCGAGACUGACAUCAAAAUCAGUCAUUUAUAACUCCACGAGAUCUACUGAAGUGACUCUCUGGGAUAUUGUGACCAAAUAGUUCUUGUAUACUUGUCUAGAUACAAUAGAAACACCUACAGGAGUGGACAAUGAGAAGGGUUCUGCUAAAGUCUUAGGACUAACACAAAAAUUAACGAUUAUGUAGGGAGUUACAAAAGAAAGAGAAGUUCCAAAGUCUAAUAAAGCAUAAACAUAUAAAUGAAAGAACUUUAACAUACCAAUAACCAUAUCAGGAGAACUUUCUUGAUCCUGGUAGGACUGAAGUGCAUAAAUCCUAUUUGGGCGCUGCCCACUGGUGGCACUGGAAUUGGCACACUGUUGAGUCGGACGACUAGAUGGAAUUAUGGAACGAGUGGACUGACCCUGCUGACAACUUAGUAGGUUGUCCCUAACCCUGUGGCCUAUCUUGCCAUUCUCAAAGCAUACAUCACUGCCAACACACCCUAAUGGUUUCUACCAUAUUUCAGACAAAGAGGAUUUGUGCAACCAUUUUUCAUACUUUCCUAGGGUUUAGGGCCAGGCGUACUAUGCUAAUUAUCAUUUCUGGGAAUCAGCACUGGCGCUCUAGCUGAAGAUGGAGCUGGGGUUGAAGAUUUCUAAUGGGAUAGAGGACGGUUACCACCCUCAAACCUCGACUGAGCAAAACUGAAGCUACCUAUUUUGACUCUGUUAUUCUCCUUCUCUCUUUCCUUACACUUUUACUCCUCAAUCUGUUAAGCAUGGACCAUCAACCUAGAAAUGUCUAUCUCCUUAAUCAAUAUCGCGGUCCUACACUCCUUGACCACACUAUUAGCUACACCAGAGACAAACUUACUUAUCCUACAUCUGUCAUCAGACACAACAUUAAGAGCAUACCUAGCUAGCUAAGUAUACUUAAAAGAAUACUCCUUCACACUCAUAUUUCCCUGUCUUAGAUUAAUAAACUGCUGCACUUUAGCUUUCCUUAACUCAAAGGGAAAGAACCUAUCUAGAAAAGUGGUAGCAAACUCCUCCCAUUUAACAGGUCUUGUAUCUGCCUCUCUAUCUCUCUUCCACUGAUUAUACUAGGUGUGAGCAAGCACCCAACUCUGUACUCUCACAGAAGUCAAACCCAUAAUACAAUUUACCUUUUAAACCAUGUCAAGGAAUUUCUGUGGAUCUUUAUCAGACGUAGAUCCUAAAAAUAGAAGAGUGUUCAUUCGGGUAAAGUCCUAAAUCAUAUUUGCAGAAGUAUUAUCCACCAGAAUAGCGGGGAAGGCAGUAGGCUAAUUAUUUUAGGCUACUACUGAGUGAGCUAAGGAAGUGAAUGCCACUCUAAAUUUUACAUGAGAGACAAGCUCAUUCAGAGGAUCUUCUCGAACAGGUGAAUGUGUAGGUUGAUUCCCCUUUCUCUUUCUGUUGGUCUUUUUGGGAGGCAUGUUCUCUAAAUGGAAAGGAAAUUAGAUUAGAAAGGGAGUUUAAAUUGAUCUUAUGCUCAAUCACAGAACAUGAACACUUAAUGAAGGGAAACUUUUCUUAAAAUAUAUUGUAGCUUCUUUCCCAUAAGUGUGGUGCGUUUCACACCAAUGCACAAGACUCUACUUAACAGGACUUUCAAACUCCAUAGGACACUUUCGAACCUCUGGCUUUGAUACUAAUAUUGUAACACACUAAGAGUACAGCAGGAUGCCACAUGGUGCCUACAUCCCCAAAGGACCAUAAGGUAGCCCAUCUUGGUACCUGUUGUGAGCAUGAAAUAAAAUAACAGAGAACAAGUACAGAAUUUAACCAAAAAUGCCAUAAGUCUUUAAUUACGAAAACAAUACUGAAUCAAAAUAUUGAAAACGUCUAUCUGAGAAUAAUACUAUAAGAUUGUCAAUAGCAACUGAUAACUAAAUAACUGAUUGAAAGAGUUCAAAAGCCUUUUGCUGACUGACAGUGGAGUUGAUGGGAUAGGUUCCUAACUAACUUUGACUAACUACUGAACUGAACUAAAAUAAACACAAAUAAUCCUCAGAACAUGAGGACUCACCGCUGCUACUACUGUAGAUGUGUUAGGGAGGUCUAGGUGCAUUCAGGAACGUGAGCAUCCGAACCUAUGAUAUAAGACAUCAUGGUUUAAGAAAUGAGUAUGUGGUCAAUACUUUGAAUGUAUUGGUAUACUAAAUAAGGUUAGGAUAACGUGCAUAGUUCAUAUGCAUGAAUGAUACAGACUAAACACAUAGCAUGAGAUAACUAAUGUAUAGUAUGCGAGAAAUGCUAUAAAAUCAAAAAAUACAUGACCAAGCAUUUGAAAUGAUACUAGAAUAAUCUAUAAAAUAAAACACUAAAAUAAUGAUGCUGAACAACUAAUAACUGUAUGCCAUGGUCAGGAAAGUUUGAAAAUUGAACUCUGAAUUGAACACUGAAUUGAGACUGUGGGAGCUAUCAUCUAACUGACAUGCCCCAAUAAGGUAAAUUUGGGUCCAAACUGUAACCCGAGUUAGAAGGGUGUAAAUACCAUGAUACGGGUACUAACACUGACUAUGUGGAUCUACUAAAGUGUUGACUAGAAGGACUAAGGGUCAGCCUUAACUGGAAGGGACCUAAUGAGAUAUGUGGAAAUCCUUAACUGGCAAGUUAAUGUCUCAACCUACGCUGGCUAGAUAGUUUUGGAAUGCAGGGACUGCUAUUAAAGGUCACACCCUAAACUGGCAGGUGAGCCCCCAUCCUUGUGUACUCUUAGUGGUAAAUCCUACUCCAAACUGUAUUGACUCUAAUUACUGGACUGAACUGAGUCGGCUAACAUGGUACGCUGACUGAAAUAAUAAUACUCUAAUAUAUUUAAAACCCUUCUGAAAGUAUUUAAACUAAGUUUUCAGGCAUUUAUAACCCUCAGGACUCGAUAGUAAUAUCAAUAGGAUCACAAGAGAGCAUUUGAGACCAUAAUACUACUUGGAUAACUUCAUAAAUAGUCAUUGUUAAAAAUUCAUCUAUGAGCCAUUUCAUCAAACACAUGGGGGUCGUGAGUUAAAGCACGAAAUUUUUUUAAUACAUACGAUAGUAACAUAACUUCUUCACUAAAAUCAUGGUUUAGGUAUUUCAACAUGAAAUUUUCAUUAUUCAACAUGCUAAGAACGAACUCCAACAAAAAACACAUGUAAGUAUGGCAUGAAGUCAAAAUUCAUGAAUGUUCAUGGAUAAGACUCAUAACUACAUGUUAAUAUCACAGUUGAACUUGAAAAUUGGGUUCUUGAACUCCAUGGAUUAAAAGGGUCCAUGAAUCAAUAUCUAACAUACCUUAAUUGAAGAAUUCAUGAAGGUUCUAGGUGGAUUUCUUGAGAAUUGAACUUGAAUGUUGAAGGGGCUAGGGUUUGUUCUUGAGAGGAAUUGCUUUUAAUUUUGGGUGAAAUAUGAAUUAUGAGUCAAAAAUGUUGUUUUAAGACCUAAAUCUCAUCUUAAAGUGUGGGGAAAAGACGAAACUACCAUUCUACAUUUAAAAUGUAGAACUAGAAUGUCGAUUAAGGCUUUACCAGGAUGCGGUGAUGUCCUCAUCGCUAUAGUUACCACAACGUAGUGCAAUCUUGUUGAGUCACUAGAAUUGACCAUUGUUGUUUUGCCCUUCAUUGUGAUAUAGUAGAUCCUUCAAUGCUAUACUCUCCGUGAAAUGGUCUAAUAGUAGUGAGUUGUUGCUUAGAAAAUUCAAAUGUGGUCUAAACCUUAUUCAAAAAAACCCAAAACUUACCCGAGAUGUGCAAGUUACACCCCUGAACAUGAAAAAACUCAGAAAGAUUCGUCUCAGAGCCCAGAAGGUCAACUUAAAAAUCCUCAAAUUUAAAGGGAUUCGUGACUAACUCUAUCAACACUUCAGUCUUAUUUUUAAGGUUCUAAGCUUCUUAAGGAAGUACUAGGGGCUGAACUGCACCUAGAAACGUAUGGAGUAUUACACUCUGCUGUUUUAUAUUUUUAUUAUCCUCCUACUCCAUAUGAACAACCAACCUUAAAAUAUCCAUAUCCUUAAUCAGAAAAGCAGUCUUGCUUUUAAGGAUCAAAUUAUGAGAUAACCCACAAGUUAAUAUUCUCAUCCUCGCCCUCAUAUCAACCACCAAAUUAAGAACAUACCUUGAUAGCUAAUGAAAUUUCAAGGCGUACACCUUUACAAACAUUUUUUCCUGCUUAAGAUUCAUAAACUCCUCUAUCUUCACUACCCUCACCUCCUGAGAAAAGAAACAAUCCAAGAAUAGAUUAAAAAAGGACUCCCAAAAGUAAAACUCCUCAACCUCACCUCUAUCCUUAUUCCACUCGUCGUAUUAUUGGUACGUAACAUCCUUGAGCUUCUAAGCUGUAAAAUCUACCCCUUCCAUAUUAGUGGCCUGCAUCACUCAAACUAUCCUCACUAUUUCAUAAAAGAAACCCUGAGAAUUCUCCUUCACCUUCACACUAAUAAAACUAGGAGGAUUUAUCUUCAUGAACUGGCCAACCCUUGUGUAUUUCGUAGAUAGAACCCCAAAUAUAUCCUGCUUAGCCUGAGAAACAACUAAAUGAGAAAUAGUAUGAAUCAACUAAUGAAAUUUUGCAUUAGUCACCUCACCUCUAGGAGAAAUAAUAGGAAUAAGUGGAACUCAAGAACAAUCAGGGAUAGGACCCUCAGAUUGAGUGGAAACUCCAAGUGUAGGAUGUAAUCUAUCAAUAUCGUCCCAAGAUAGGAUAGAGGGAUUUCCUCAUGUUCCAAAUCAAUGAGGCAUGAUAUAAAAAGCGAACAAAUAAGGAUUAGAGGAAAUUAUCGGAGUUAGACUCCAGGCUUGAAAAUAGAAUACCAAGAAAGUAAAACAUUCCUAUAUCUACUGAAUCCUCUCUCUUAUGAAUGUGUUGCACUACACCACCUAAAAGAGACUCAACUAGACCCAACUUUUUGGACCCCUAAUUGACCAUGAACCAAAAUAUUUGCUACUAACUUAAAAUGACCCUACCCAAGGCCUUGUGAUAAUUGGCAUCCCAAGUCCAACAUGAACCAGAGACCACCCUUGUUACCCAACCUAACCUCUAGCCACUUGCCCUGAGUUGGCUAAAUUUCAAGUAUCUAACAAAAUAGCAAAACUAUCCAAUUUACAAACUCCGGGAUAGGUUUAUUACUGAAACCGACCCAGCCAAAUCGAAUGGUCUGAAACCAACCAAUAGCCAAACUAACCAAACCAUAACCCUAUGAGUUCCAUAAUUAUUAUAUAUAAUCCCAAAAUAAAAUAGGAUGGAAUAACCAAAAAUACCAUCAAUCGGUUUCUACCCUAAUACCAAUGCCAAUUCUAAGGCCAACACCCCUACUGAUCCCGCCCAUUCCAACCUAUAGUAGUCCUACAAAAGCCUCUAACUAAAAGAAUACCAAAAUCUAGUUGGGACAUGCCCCCAACUAUAGCCAAAACCAUUAUCCAUAAAUGAACCGAAGUAUAAAAUAACAUUAAUGAAUAGAGCCUUCUAAGAAGAUGGAAGCUCACCACUUCAAUCUAGUACCAGAUAUCAAAUAUCUGAUAGCUAAGCAUGAAGAGUAGAAUGGUCGGUUCCUGUAUCGUGUGGGGAUAUAUUAGCUCGAAUAGAUACUGGUAUUAGCAUGCAUUUGAAACCAAAGUAAAACCAAGUAAACCAACCAUAUGCAUACAACCCAAACAUAUAAAUAUAUUACUAUGCCGAGAAAGGGAACUGGGUUUAGUAUGCAUUUAAAACCAUUAACCUAUGUAUGUGAACUUUAACUGUCCUUAACCACCUAUGAGCUAUGUGGGUCCAGUGUAAACCCCUGAACAGUCCCCGAUACUUGUAGCUGCAUGAAUUGGAGAUACUAUAAAAGUAAGAGAUUUCAAAGUACCCCCCCACACCAUAAUACAUAUGUACAAUGUACUUAGAGGAUUCCUGUGUACAUCAUAGUAUCAUAAAAGGGUCACCAUGUCGUUCUCCUAAUUUCGGAUAGCAUGAGUUUCCAGUGUUAGUUCAUGGAACUCCCAUUUCAUGGUUAGCUAUCAUACCCCACCAUUAUUUCCAAAUUAAAACUAUUUCCAACCAACUAAUCCAUUAUUCCAUUUAUUAUUUACCAAGGCUAUUAGUAGUGGUAUUGUGUUACCGACUCUAACUUGCAAGUAUUAUCCGUAGCUAAAACAUUUAAGCCAAAGGGAUUCCUAUGUACCCAUUUACCAAGUUAACUUGAGGGAGUACAAUAUACCUACAAGUGUUCUAUUAUUAAGUUGCUUAUGGGAGUCCCAUGUACCCCAUAAGGUUUUCAUUAACAUGUUUACUUGGGGAAUUUCAUUGUAACCAACAAGGAGUCCAAUUGACCAAAAAACCAUUUCAUUUAAACCAUUAAAAAUAAUUAAACCAUUUAGGGUUCCAUUAGCAAGUUUAAAUUAUGCCUAAGUAGCAUUAAAAUCCAACAAUGUAGUGAAAACAUUCCCAUAGGCAUUUUAUCAAACAUAUUGAGGGAAUAGAAUUUCCAAAGCCAAAGCCAAUUACCUAAUUUUCAUUCCCAUGAAAUAAAUUAUCCAAAAACACCAUUAAAGCAUAAUUAAAGCAUAGGAAAACCAUAACCAACCAUUUAUAACCAGAACCUCCAAAUUAUACUUGGAAAUCCAAAACCUUACAAUAAUCAAACCAUGAAAACAUUGCAUAAAACCAUGCCUUAAGUUGUAAAUAACAAUGAGGGAAAAUAGAAUGCCUUAAACCAAGAUAAUGAUAGAGAGAAAUCACCAACACAAGCCCCAAAUAAAUCCAUAAGAUGAAACCCUAUACUUUCUUUACCCAAAAUCCUUAGAGAGUAUUAAAGAGUGCUUAAGAGAAGUUUUAAAGUGUUAAUGAAUAGAAAAAUAAGAAAAAUAACCUCAUAAUUGUAAUAUAUGUCAUUGGGCUUUAUUUAGGGUAAGUAGGAAAAUGUCCAGAAUACUCUCACUUAAGUUGCAUAAAAUCCCUUUAGGUGGGUACAACUAUCCUUACAAGUCGUACCCUCUAAUAUGUGUGGUAUCCACCACUCAUACCAAAGUCCAUCUCCCUGGGAACCAACACAAUGUAAGGUACAAAUCACCCCAAACCAUGUCUAUCCAAGUACAUGACUAGUACCCAUGAUCCGUACCCCUAGCUAAAUAGAAUCCUAAGAGGAUUGAACACUAACCAAUAUGUGAGUCCAUAGUACGAUUCAUACCCUAUAUUAUGGCUCAUGGCGAGCCACCCGUACUUAGAUCCAACUUAAGUUACCUAUUCUAAGGCUAAAUAAAGUAGCCAAAGAACCCGUAUCUACCGAUAUGACUCAUACCAACCAAGCCGUACCCAAUCUAAAAACCAAAUCUAACCCACCAACAAACACUAGUCAGCAUACGAUUAACCCAUACCACUCGUAUCUUAGUGUAUAAUUCAUUUACCUAGUCUUAUCCUGUCUAGGGACCAGUAAUCAAAGAAAUUUUCCAAGGGCCGAGAACCCAGGGACCUAAGGUAUUUCAAUUUACAUGGUAUGAAGAUUAUUUUUGUGGCUAUUAAUUAUGUUUUAGAAUUGGUAGAAGUAGAUGCUCUUUCAAGCAAUACAGGGAAAAGUGUCACAAUAUUCUUGAAUAAGAACAUAUUUUCUAGGUUUAAGAUUAUAAGGGUUAUCAUUAGUGAUGGAGGCUCAGAAUUUUUCAAUAUUCUACUCAAAGGUUUUCUUGAGAAAUAUAAUGUGAAACAUAAAGUGGCAACACCAUACAAUCCACACAUAAAUAGGCAGGUUGGAGUCUCCAAUUGCGAGAUCAAUUCUAUCUUAGCAAAAUACUGUGAAUGCCAAUAAGAACGACUGGGUAGUAAAGCUGGAUGACACACUAUGGGUUUAUCAAACAACAUUCAAGACCAUUAUUAAUACUUCUCUAUAUAAUCUCCCAUAUGGUAAGGCAUUCCACUUGCCUAUCUAGCUUGAGUAUAAGGUAGUGUGGGGUUUGAAAAGGCUAACUCUGGAGUGGAGCAAUAUGGAAAAAUUAAGACUCGAGCAGCUAAAUGAGAUUGUUGAAUUUAGCCUUUUAGCCUAUGAAAGAUCUAUGUUAUAUGAAGAGAAGAUGAAGCUAUACCAUAAUGGAAAGAUUGAGAAGAAAGAAUUCACCAUUGCUGAUAUGGUAUUGCAUUUUGAAUUUAAGAUAAUAUUGUUUAGGGAAAUUUGAAGUCAGAGUGGGGAAGACUAGAUAGAGUUACUAGAGUUCUCCCCUAUGGUGCACUAGAGCUGGGCCAAAAGUUCAAGGUUAUUGACUAAAGUUUAAAAAACUAUCUACGACCAAUUAUAAAGAUAAUGUGGUAUUUGAUGUUGAUUUAUAUGGUUCUCUAUAUAUAAAGAGCACCCAAUUCAUUCCACUAUGUUAAAUAAGGUGGUUUGCGAGAAGCAAUCCCUGGGAUUUUUGGUGAAGUUUGAGUAAAAAUUUUAGGCACAUCGUGCAACGGCAUUAAAUCAAGCACUUCUUGGGAGUCAACCCAUGAUAUCAUACUUUUAAAGUUAUAGGGUAAUAUGUGUUAUUGUCCAGGGUUUGUAAAGAAAAGCAACUUUAGCAGUUAACUUAGUACUAAUCCCACUGAAGCUUAAAUUAUUAUGGGAAGAUCCCAUGAUCAUCAAUUCAGUUAUCUACACGCAAUUCACUAAAGUUCAGUGGAAUGAAUUUUAAGAGUUAUUUGAAGAUUGGUCAUUGUGAUCGUACCUAACAACUGGGUACUAAUUGUCCUAUUAUACUUUUUAAAACACAUGUGUAGGACAUUGAGCUUAUGAUUUUGAGAAAUGAGUUUAGGUACAUAGCUCAAUCAUUCUAAAGGCUUGUACGUUCGUUGUUAAGUAUUCUUGAACCCUUUUAGUAUUACAAGGAGUUACAGUUAUGGUUUCAUACCAGCAUCAUAGGUACAACUUGUUUGACUGAUAUUCUUAAAUUAGUAGGAUGCGAUCUAACCCAACAUGAAUAGGGUUUAAACAUCUAAAACCUAUACCUAAGACUCGAUCGACAUUUCCCAAUCAUUGUCAAUUAUUUUCACUCAUAGUUCCCUAAAAAUUAAAGUGAUCAAAAGAAAGAAAACUAAAAAAAUUAUUACCUUCGAUUCGCAUAAAGAAAGCUUCUUCUCAAAGUCAUUUUUGUAAAACUCCUAACACCUAAAUUUGCAAGAAAUCAAGUAUGUGCACUACUCAUAACCAAUUAAUAUUAUAUUUUUUAUAAAUAAACAAGUAAUGAAUCAAAACUUAAGUAAAUGGAUGUUGUAUUUAAAUGAGGGCAAUAAAAUCAGUGUUAUGAAUGAGUGUCUCAACGAAGAAAAUCAAUGGGGAUAUCUAAGUACCUAUUACUACUAAUAUUGUGUCUCUGUAAGUCAAAAAGUUGAGUCAAAGAUUGUGUUUGAAUUUUGUAAGUGUCAGCACACUCCACGACAGAAACUACAAUCAUGGUAUCUAGAUAAAAUUGUAGGUUGGAUUACUAUGGAGGUAUUAAUGUCUAAGUUAUGAGUGGUCAUUAUAGGAGUACAUCCAACGAUUAUCAUAUUAUGUUGAGGUUAUGGUAUGUAGUCAUCUGAUGUAACAUACCCUCAGUACAUUGAGGUUGUUCCUACGAUAAAAGGGGAUGAUUAUACCUUUAUUGCAUGAUUAUAGAAUGGGUUUAUCUGAUAUGAUGUUUCACCAUUACUUUUGGGGGACCCUUCAUAUAAUCAGAAAUAUGAGUGUACCUUUAUUACACGAUCUUACAAAAGGUCGUCUGAGAGAUUUCCUACACCUGUAUUAAUAAUUUAAUAUUGAGAAUAAUCAUUGUUUAUAAAGUUACUAACACCCUAAAAUCACUCAAAUAGAUGCAAGAAAAGGAUAUUCAAGUAAAGAUUUCUAAGCAAAUGGAACAAAAAGAAACACCUAGAGUCUGAGAGAAUGAGUCAUACAACUUAAUUGGUACUUAGGUGGAGUAUUCUUCAAGCUCCUGGAAUGACCAACACCCACCUUGGAUCACGAGAGCUAAGGCCUAGGAGAUUGAGAAAGCCAAGGCCAUAACAUCAACAACCUUGAUAGAAGCUUCUACCCAUCUCAAACUUCCCUUAUCUAAAGAGGAUGGGAAAAAUAUAAACUAGGAUGGGGGUAAAAAUAGUAAACAUAAUGAGGUUGAUGCAGAUAUGAGAUCAUCUGAGGGUGUGGAAGAUUCAAAUCUCAAAUAAUUGAAAGGACCUUCUAGGAAUUUCCAUCAAAGGGGUGUUUACAUGCGGCAGUAGAGUGUGCCAAACUAUUGUGAUUACAAUAUUGAUAGGAUCUUACUGAAUGACAAAACAAAUAUGAAGAAUAUCCCAAAAUAUCCCCAAAUCUUAUCGUAGUCAUCUCAAAAAAUCCCAUAUUUAGUGUAUGUAUUUAAGAGGUAUGAGCUUAGUUGGAUGAUUAGGCCACCUAUAUAUUAUAUCCCAGAGUUGGUGAGGGAUUUCUAUGCAAACUAUGCAGCCAUAAUCAAGAACAUGACUCCCUUAAGCAACAAAAAUGAUAUUAUAAAGCAGCCUUGAUUGGAUAUAUUAUGAUUUUUGGAACAUGUGGUUGAUAUUUCCAUCAUGGCUAUCUUUAAUGCAUUGUUUGAAACCACUUUUAAGUGAACUAGGUAGACUCUUGAAUAUUAUUUUCAAAUUAAUAACUCAAAAAUUGUGAAAAAAAUUUUCGUCAAUGAUAAGUUAAUAGACUAUGAGUGGUUGGAGAACCACAUUUUAGAGGUUAGAAAAAAACACCAUUGAUCAAUGUGGCAAAAAUAUAUAAGCAUAAAUUAAGGUUCACUGCCAAGGCUUAGGUGUCUAUUAUGAGGCACUGCAUUGCACCAACCACCAAUGAUAACAUAUUUGGUUUGACUUAUGUAGGCCUGGAAGCUACUUUUAUAUCAAAAUUAGAGUUGAACAUCCCACAAAUCAUUACAGAGAAGAUUCAAGAUAGGGUGCUCCAAUUAAACACCAUAUUGCCUUUCCAAUGUCUUAUCACUCAAUUUCUACAAAAUACCCACAUACCUACAAAUGUCUUAGGUUAUAUUCUCUUAUUUAUCUGCUUCUUGCAUUUAUUUACUUUGUAAGGUUAGGCUUACCUACCAAGGUUAGGAAAGGAUAGGUGCCCUCAUGACCUUGCCUCUGGGUCAUGACAAUUGGUAUCAUAACUUUAGAUUCACUAGUCUCGUGAGUAAAGAUCCCGAUGUCUAAUCAUAGCUCAUGGAUUGAUACACGAAUGUCUUAUCUAUCCUCGAGAGGCUAUGGAGUGUCUUAAUAAAAUUCUCUAAUUAAAUUCCUGAUCAUUCAUGUUUUUCUUACCUAUUUUUUUUAAAAUAUAUCUCAGUACUUCUAUGAAGAUAGCAAGCAGACCUUGGUAGAUCUGAUUGAGUUAGAUAUGGUGGAUUUUGAUAUUUUUCUGUGGAUAGAUUGGCUACAUUCUUGUUAUGUGUCCUUAAAUUGUUGGACCUGUAAGGUUGACUUUAGGUUCCCUGGUGAACUGAUUAUAGAGUGGGAGGGUAGUUCCCUAGCUCCUAGGGGGAUGUUUAUUUCUUAUCUUAGAGAUUAAUAUCCAAAGGGUAUCUUUAUUACUUAGUCUGAGUUAAAGAUUCUAACUCAGAGGGUCCUUCUAUUUACUCAAUUUUGGUGGUAAAUAAGUUUCCUAAGGUUUUUCUCGAUGAUCUUCUGGUGUUCCUCCUGAGAGGGAAAUUGAGUUUUGUAUUGAUUUGGUUCUAGACAUUCAUCCAAUAUUUAUUCCUCUUUGUAGAAUGUCUAUGGCUGAGUUAAGGGAACUCAAGGAGCAACUUAAGGAUAUUCUAGAUAAGGGGUUUAUUCAUCCUAGUGUAUCCCCGUGGGGUGCACCGAUGUUGUUCGUGUAUAAAAAGGAUGGUUCCUUUCAUAUGUGCAUCAGCUAUCGGUAGUUGAAUAAGGUAACAGUCAAAAACAAAUAUCCUCUUCCAAGGAUAGAUAACUUGUUUGAUCAGUUGCAAGGUGCCAAGUUCUUUUCUAAGAUAGACCUUCGGUCUGGUUAUAAUAAACUUAAUAUUAGGGAGGAGAAUAUCCCUAAGAUGACUUUUCAUACUUGGUAUGGGCACUUUGAAUUCUUUGUUAUGUAAUUUGGCUUGACUAUUGCCCUAGCGACAUUUAUGAAUUUGAUGAACAUGGUUUUCAGGCAGUUUUUGGAACUUUUUAUCAUUAUGUUCAUUAAUGACAUCUUGGUGUAUUAUAAAAGUGAGGUAGAUUAUCCUAAUCACCUAUGUGUAGUAUUUUAGUAGUGUUUUUUUCUUUGAAAAUUUGUCAUUGGAGUGUAUGUAGAUAUCUUCUCUGAUCAUAAAAGUUUCCAGUAUAUGUUCACUCAAAAGGAGCUAAAUCUUAGGUAGAGGAGAUGGUUGAAGCUUGUCAAGGACUAUGACAUGAGUCUUCAUUAUCAUCCAUAUAAGGCUAAUAUUAUUGCUAAUGCUCUCAGAAGGUUAUCCAUAGAGAGUUUAUCUCUUGUUUAUAGGGAUAAGCAGGAAUUAGUGAAGGAUUUUAUAGCUUGGUUAAUCUUAUAAUUUGUCACAUGGACUGUAAGGAUUGUAGUAUAUUGGUACAAGAAGCAGUUUGAUCGUCUCUUGGUGCAAAGAUUAAGGAGAAGCGAGUAUUAUUCCUAUCUUGAUGAAAAUAAAGAAUGAUGUUGGUGGGAAAAGGUAAUGGUAUUCAAGAUCAGUGGCGAUGGUACUUUAUGGUCCAAGGGAGGUUAUGUGUUCCUGAUGUCGAUGGGUUGCGACAAAGGAUUUUGGUUGCGGUUCAUGAAUCACGCUAGUUUGUUCAUCCCGACUUGACAAAGAUGUAUCCUGAUCUCAAAGAUUUAUAUUAGUGGAAUGGUAUUAAAAGGGUUAAGGCUGAUUUUAUUUCCAAGUGUUUAUUAUGUCAACAUGUACAAGUUGAUCACAUAAGGCCCAGAGGGUUGUAUCAAGAAAAUAAUUUUUUCGAGUGGAAAUAGGAGGUGAUCAAUAUGGAUUUCGUUAUUAGACUUUCUCAGUCACAGAACUAAUUCAAUUAAAUUUUGGUCAUCGUGGAUAGGAUAACAAAGUCUUCUCACUUUUUGCUGGUGAGGACUACUUUUCUAAUGGAGGAUUAUGUGAAGUUGUAUCUUCAGGAUAUUUUAAAGCUUCAUAAUGUACCUUUUCAAUUAUCUCCAAUUGUGGUACGCAGUUUUUAUCCCAUUUCUCACGGUUUUUCUAGAAGGGAUUAGAUACUAAGGUGAGUCUGAGUACUAUAUUUUAUCCUAGACAGAUGGGUAAGUGGAGAGGACUAUUCAGACAUUGGAGGAUAUGCUUUGGGCAGAUGUGAUUGAUUAUGGUGGCAAUUGGGUUGAGCAUCUACCUUUGGUAGAGUUUUCUUAAAGCAAUAGGUACCAGUCUAGUAUUCAUAUUGCCAUUUUUGAUAAAUUGUAUGGUAUGAGGUGUAGACCUUCUAAUAGAUGGUUUGAGCUUUGUAAGGCUAGCAUGUUUGGUUUGAAUUUGGUUUAUCAUGCUAUUAAAAAGGUGAAGGUGAUUCGGGAUAGGCUUAAGGCUACCUAAAGUUUCCAAAAGUCUCAUGUAGAUGUAAGAAGUAGAGAUUUGGAGUUUGAAGUUAUGAACAAGGUAUUCCUAAAGGUAUCUUCCAUAAAGGGAGGGAUGCAGUUUUGUAAGAAGGGGAUUUUAGUUCUCGGUUUUUUGGUCCCUAUACGAUUUUGGGAAGAGUUUGUAGUGUGGCUUAUGAAUUGGAGUUGCCUUUUAGCUCGAGCUUUAUUCAUCCGGUAUUAUAUGUCUCAAUGUUGAGGAAGUGUCUUUGUAAUCCUUGUUUGGUGGUUACCUUGGAGGGAUUGGAUAUCUCUGAUUCUUUAUCUUGUGAAGAGGUCUCUAUUGAGGUACUGGCUCAGGAGGUUCAUUGGUUGCAGAUUAAGGAUGUGGCCUCGGUUAAGGUUCUAUGGCAGAACCACAAGGUGGAAGAGGCUACAUAGGAAGCAGAGGAGGACAUGAAUUCCAAGUAUCCACAUCCAUUUUUUGCUUCUGGGAUUCAUACGGAAGGUAUGUGUUCCAAAACACAUCUUAAUUUUUAGAGUUUGAUAUUUGACAAUGCAAAUGAAUCGUGUUUUGGGUUAGCCUACCUUGUUCUUCAUUCGGGGAUGAAUGUUCCUAAUGGGGAAGAUUUAACCACCCUAGGUCCCUGGGUUCCUGGGCGUUGGAAAAUUUUCUCGAUUUUUGGCCUCUGGACAGGAAACGACUAAGGUAAACAACUCGUAAACUGGGAUACGAGUUGUCUGGGAUAGUCGUAUGUUGAACAAUAUUGGUUGGUGGGUUGGAUUUUGUUUCUGGAAUAGGUAUGACUUGGGUAGUAUGAGUUGUAUUGGUGGAUACAUGUUGUUUGGUUACUUUACUUAGUCGUAGACUUAGUAACUUAAGUUGGAUGUGAGUAUGAGUGGAUUACCAUGAGUUGUAAUCCAAAUCACGAGUCGUACCAUGGACCGCAUGGUGGUUAGUGUUCAAUCCUCUUUGGAUUCUAUUCAGCCAGGGGUAUGGAUCAUGAGUACUAGUUGUAUACUUAUAUAAGACAUGGUUUGGGGUGAGUCGUACCUUGGACAAUAUUGGUUCUAACGGAGAUGGCCUUGGGUACGAGUGGUGGGUACCACUCGUAUUGGAAGGUACAACUAGUAUGGAUAGUUUUAUCCAUCUAAUUAGAUUUCUGGGAGGUUAAGUGAGGGCAAUUUGGAUAUUUCCCCGCUUAACCUUAUAUGGCCCCAUGACUUAUAUUUCUAUUGGGAGGUUAUUUAUCCUAUUAUUCUAUUUAUUAAGACUUAGAAACUUUUGUUAAACACUUUUCAAUUCUCUCUAAGGCAUGGUUUUAUACAAUCUUUUAAUGGUUUGGGGAUUGUGUUGGUGAUUCUCUCCAUUAUCUUCUUGGUUUAAGGCAUGUUCUCUUAUCUCAUUGUUAGUUCCAACUAAAGUCAUGAUUUUAUAAAAUGUUUUCAUGGUUUGAUUGAUGUAUGGUUUUGGAUUUUUAAAUAUAAUUGUGGGAUUUGGUUAUAAAUGCUUGGUUUUGGUUUUUCGUGUUUUAAUUAUGCUUUUAUAUGAUUUAAUGGUGGUUUUGGAUAAUUUUUUUCAUAGGAAUGGUUAUUUGGUAAUUGUGUUUGGUUUUAGAAAUACUAUGACUCUAAUGUGUUUGAUAAAAUACCUAUUCGGAAUGUUUUCACUACAAUGUUGAAUUUUAAUGGAACUUAUGCAUGGUUUAAACUUCGUAAUGGAAUCCUAAAUGGUUAAAUGGUUUGAAAUAGUAGAAAUGGAAUGGUUAGGUGGUCACGAUUAUGGAUAAUUGGACUCCUUGUGGGGUACAAUGGAAUCCCCCAAGUAAACAUCUUAAUGAACAACUUCUGGGGUAUAUGGGACUCCCACAUGCAACUUAAUAAUGGAACACUUGUUGGGAAUAUUGAACUUGCCCAAGUUAACUUUGUAAUUUGGUGCAUUUGAAUCCCUUUACCUUAAAAGGUCUGGCUAAGGACAAUAUUUUCAAGUUAUAGUUGGUAACACAAUACCACUACUCAUAACCUUGGUAAAUAAUAAAUGGUAUGAUGGAUUGGAUGGAUGGAAAUGGUUUUAAUUGGUAAAUAAUGGGGAGGUAUGAUAGCUAACUGUGAAAUGGGAGUUCCAUGAACGAACACUGGAAAAUCAUGUUUGCCGACAUGAGGGGUAGGGCAUGGAAACCCUUUUAAGAUACUAUGAGGUAUGCGGGAAUUCUCUAAGUAUAUUGUACAUAUGUAUCAUAGAGGGUGGGGAUACUUGGGAAUCCCUUACUCUUAUGGUAUCUCUGUUUCAUGCUGCUACAUGAGUAGAGGCUCAUUCAGGGGGUUACACUGGAUCCAUAUCGCCCAUAGGUGGUUAAGGACGAUUAAGCUUCACAUACCCAGGUUAAUGGUUUUAAAUGCUAGCUAAACCCAAUUCCCUUUCUCGGCAAGGUUAUAUAUAUAUAUUGUUUGUAUGCCUAUGAUAUGUUUACUUAAUUUUACUGGUUGGUAUUAUUUUAUCCUUAUCCUGAGUUCGUGCUUGAGUUCACCGAUUAACCCGUCUUUGAGCAGUUGUAUCUCCACACGAUUCAAUAAUUAUCCAUUCUACUCCUUUUGCUUAACAAUUUAACAUUUGGGAUCAACUACUGGAUUGAAGUGGUGAGCUUCCAUCUUUUUGAAAGGCAACAUUUCAUGGUGGUUACUGUAUACAUUUGUUCAUUUAUGGAUAUUGGUUUUGGCUAUAGUUAGGGGCAUGUCCCAAUAAGAUUUUGGUAUUCUUUUAGUUAGAGGAUUUUGUGGGACUACUAUAUGUUGGAAUGGGUGGGAUCAGUAGGGUUGUCAUCCUUAGUAUUACCGUGUGUAUGGGGCAGAUACCGGUUAGCGGUAUUGUUGGUUGUUCCAUCCUAUUUUAUUUUGGAAUUAUAUAUAAUUAUUAUUGAACUCAUAUGGUUAUGGUUUGAUUGGUUUUGAUAUUGGUUGGAUUCGGAUGGUUGGAAUUGGUUGGGUUAGUCUCAGUAAUACACCUAUCAGUGGUUGUAAAUUCGAUAGGUACGCUAUCUUGUUAUAUGCUCAAAAUUCAGUCAACUCAAGGAAGGCGUCUAGAGGUUGGGUUGGGUAACGGUGGUAGUAUCCGGUCUCGGGCAGACUUGGGAUGCCCAUUAUGAUAAGGCCCCGGUUCAGGUCAUGUCAUAAACUCAUAAAAGGGCCUAUGAAUCAAUGCCUUAUACAUCAAACAACUUAACCUCCAGAAUAGUGGUCAUUGGAAGCUCUCGCCUUCAUGAGAUAUUUCCUUGCCUUUAGCAUUGCUCACAUACCUUGUCUUAAUCGUAUGCGUCUUUGUAAAAUGGAGGCCAAUAGUAUCCACAUUGCAAGAUCUUAUAUGCAAUCCACACACCAUUAUGGUGACCCCUAACUAAAGACAAAUGACAUGCCUCUAAGUUGCUCAUCAUCUCAACUUUAGGAACACAUCUCCACACCACUUGAUCGACCCAAUUUUGGAAUAAGUAUGGCCUAUCCUAUAAGAAUUUCCUUACAUCAUAUAUAACUUUGUUGGGUUGAUGAAAUGAUAAGUCUCCAGGAACCACAUAACUCAACAUAUAAUUUACAAAGUCUCCAUAACAAGGAAUCCAAUCUUGUGACACUGCUAACGACUGUUCUUUCAAAAAAAUAUCAUCAAUCUAAAGCUUAUCUUUCAGUUUCAGCGUAGCCAUUUCUUCAUGUUGUGAUAGUUAGUCGUCCACUUGAUUCUUUGUGCCCUUUCAAUCAUUGACCUCAAAGUCAAAUUCCUGUAGCAAAAGUAUCCAAUGAACAAAUCUUCACUUCAAAUCUUUCAUUGACAGAAGGAACCUAAGAGCAAUAUGGUCCGUAUACACAAGGACUUUUGUGCUAAGAAAAUAAGAUUGAAAUUUCUAAAAAGAAAACACCAUAACAAGCAUCUCUGUAUAGUCACAAUAUAAUUUUUCUGAGCUGAGUUCAAUGCUUUGCUAGCAUAGUAAAUAGGAUGUAAGAUCUUCUCUAACCUUUGGCCUAGGACUGCACCUAACACCACAACAACAGCAUCACACGCAACCUCAAAAAUUAAUGACCAAUCAAGAUAAAAAAUAAUACUGGAUAGAAUCAAUAUCUGUUUUAGGCACUCAAAUACCUUUAGAUGUUUAUCAUCAAACACAAAUUUCACCUACUUCUCAAAAAGGUAACACACAAAAUUGGUAAUUUUAGAGAAGUCCUUGAUGAAUUAUCUAUAGAAGUCUACAUUCCCCAAAAAUCUUUGAAUACCCUUGACAGAAAUUGGUGAAGUCAAAUUUUCACUCACCUAAAUAUUUGCGUUAUUGAAUUCAAUCCCAUUCUUCAAAAUCUUAUGACUAACAACUAUUUAACCAUGAAGUGACACUUCUCCUAAUUUAAAACUAAUUUCCUCGCAUCUACUCUAAACAUUGGCGGGACAUCUCAAAUAAUCUAUGAAUGAAUCACCCAUGAUCAAGAAGUGGUCUAUGAGCACCUCAAUAUUGUCCUCAACCAUAUUAGAAAAUAUCAUCAUCAUGCAAUUCUAAAAGGUUUCAGGUGCAUUACAGAAAAUGAAAGGCAUUCUCUUGAAUGCACAUAUCCUAUAUAUACUAGUGAAAAUGCUACUCGAGAGCAAUAGAAAUCUGAUUAUAACCCAAUUAUCCAUCAAUAAAAUAAUACCAACCUCUAUCAGCAAGUCGAUCUAAUAUCUAAUCCAUUAAAGACAAUGGAAAAUGAUCUUUCUUAUUUCAAGAGUUUAGAUUCCUAUAGUCUAUACACACACACCAACCCGUGACUGGACUCACUAGAAUAUGCUCAUUCUUCUCAUUUCCAACCAUGGUUAUUCAACUUUUUUUCUGUACCUAUUAGACCAGGAUAACCUACUUGUUUUCUGAAAUCAGAUAAACCACACACGUUUCCAACUAUUUGUAGACUGCUCCUUUACCUGCUCUUGUAUAGGCAUAUUCAACCACAAUUGAUCGUCAAUAAUAAAUAUAGAAUCUACAUUAAUUUGUAUUUUUUGUGUGCAAAUUCCAGGAGAAAUCCUAAUGAUAUUAGAACUACACCAUCCAAUGGCCCACUUGAACCUCUUCAAUAUAGAAACUAGAGCCUCAACUUACCAAUCUACAAAAUAAUCUACAAUAAUAACUAGUAAAGUGUUGUUGGCUCUAAAAAAUGCAUAGCAAAGAUAGUAUGGAAGAGCUUUGAGCUCCAACACUGGGGGCUGCCUAAUCGAAGGCCGAGAUAGAGGUGUCACUCUAUUCUUUAAAUCAAGAUCUAACUUCAUUUAUGCAAACGUAUAUGAACUCUAUUCUAUCUAUAUAUUUAUAUUCAUCAAUUCCAUCAUGCUCAAAACUCAAAUUGACUGCAACCAGGUCAUAAACACCAAUUCUCCUCAAUAGGAGCUACGAAGUCAUCCUCAUAGAACACACAUAUUCUUUGGGUUCUUUAUGCAUUGGAACACACUGAACGUAACUUGUUCAUUAUUCAACCAAAACAUCAUUUGCCCAGACAUAGGUAAUAGUUUCCCAAAGAUAAUGGGAACCGUAAAUCAAUCUCAUUAUUGAGGAUGAGAAACUCUUUUUUAAAGAUAAAGAGGCAACACUCACAAAAAUAUCACAUAACAUUCCCACCACCUUCUUCAUAGUGAAAUAUUCCAUGAGAAGUCUCAUCAAAGUAGAUUUAGGUGCCCCCAGCUAUAACUCUCUAUACAAUGCUAGAGGUAUCAAGUUAAUGCUAGUGGUCAAGUCACAUAACAAUUUUUCAAAGUUAAAAGGCACAAUAGUGCUUGGGAUCGUGCAGGUUCUGGGGUCUUUUUUCUUCUCAAUCAACAACCUAGAGCCUAUUGGACAAGAAUGGUGAACAUAGUCAAUAGUCUCAUUACUCACUAUCCUUUUCUUAGUCACCAAAUCCUUUAGCUCUUUAAGCCUAAAAACAAACUUUUGAUACCUUCCCUCUUUGACUUUCUUUUUUAGUAUUUGCAAAAAAGGAAGAAGAGGUUGUGGAAUAGGAGUCAAUACUUGCGGGAACUUCUAGUCCUUGCCUUUUUUUCUAUGGCCUAAUUUUUAUGUAAAAUGGCAAGGGGUCAUGAUGGUACUUGUCGCUGCGAACAUUGACAAGUAAACCUAUCACAAAAAUUGAUAAAAAUGGGAAAUAAUACUUAAAUCCCAAGGUAACGCUUCUAGAAUGAAGUCUAACCAUAUAAGUGUAAUAAUGUAUAAAGGAACAUAGAUAAUAACAAUACCAUAAUGCCCCAAAACCCUAUCUCAAUAGUGUAAGAUCAUAUCUAAUACAACUCGAAUACAAAUAAAAUACAUAUAGCAUUAAUAAUAUAUGAGAAACUCUAUCUCUGAAAUGAAAUCAAAGGCAUAGUCUAUAAAGAAAGGUAGUAAAAGACAUUCGUAUUCCUAAAAAUCACCUACUACCUCAAAAACUCCAAAUACUACUAAAAUUAAAUAAUGUAGGGUGCACCCAAACCUGAAUCUACAUCAAAAAGCUAUAGUUGAAGUGAGUAUGAUCCACUCAUACUCAGUAAGUACUAUAGGUUGACCGAGCAAUGUUUAAAAUAAAGCAUACAAGAUACACAUUAAGGGAACAUCACUUGCAAUUAGAAAAUGUCCCACAAUAGUAGCCCACACCGCUUGCUCUAAAAGUACAAUAAUAUCACAUAUAUUUCAACACACCAAAAGGAUCGCAGAUAUACAAUACAACACAUAUAGGUAGAAUAAAGAAGAACAGUGUAUAUAUACACAAGAUCAUCAAGUACAUGUAUAGCAAUAUAUAACAAAUAGAUAAGUAAUUAUGUCAAAUAAAAUAUAAUCACAUCACAAGCAUAAUGAAGUAGAUAUAGUAAGAAUGAUGAUAAUGAUGAUGACUAUGAUGAUGGUGAUGCACGAGGUUAUCGAAAAACCUUCAAGAGCAUCGCGAAGUCUCUAUAUUAUCAUGAGUUGAACUAGGGCCUGGCCAUGAUAGGUAUCUCAAGUCCCACGUGGACCAAAGAUCACCCUCACAACUAACCAAACCAAACCAAGAAUUCCCUAAGGACGGAUGAAUUCCAAACAUAUAACAAGAUAGUGUGCAAUAAACAUAAAAAGUUCAAAACCAAUUUAUAACUGAUGACCGGUGACCAGCAAAACAACUGACCAACACCGCCAAUAUCCAUAGUAGUCCAAACAAAGCCUUCAAAGCAAAGAACAAAAAUGAAAUAUCAAUGAAUUUUUGCGACAUGCCUCUGACUACAGCCAAAAACAUCUGAGACAUAACAGACCAAAACAUGAAAUGUAGACUUUUGAUGUAUAGAAGCUCACCCUUUUGAAAUAAAGUCACGAGCUGAUCCUGAAUCCUAAUCACUGAGAAGGAGUUGUAGAAGUAUAACCAUUUCCUUUAUCGCAUUGGGAUACAACGUCCUAAGAUGAUUAGUGGUUGGAGUACUAGCAUGUAACUAUGCAUAAAGUUAACACAAUGACAUGGUCAAUAGUUCAAACUCAUUCAAAACCAAUGUACACAAUUAAAUGCAUAUACAUAUAUAAAUUACAUACUAGGAUAGGAAAUGUCACGACUGAACUAAGGUCUAGAUGUUAUGGGCAUCCCAAUUCUAACUAGGACCAGGUACCACUCCCUUAACCUAACCCAACCACCUUUCACAACCAUAGAUGAGCAGAAUUUUAAGCAUAUACCAAGAUUUCGUAAAUGCUCUCACAAAAACUCUGGGAUAUGGUCACAAUAGUGACCAACCAAACUGAGUCUACCAACACCAAACUAACCAUCCAUACCAUACAAAACUAAAAAGAAUAUCAAAACAUAAUAUGACAAUGAAACCCAAAAUGUAAUACCAUAGAAUAACCAAAAAUAUUGUCCAAUGAUGUCAUCCCCAAACCAAUGCCAAUGCUAAGGCCAACACCAAUACCGAUCCCGCCCAUACCAACACUUAAAGUACAACAAAGCCUUUAUCCAAAAGAAUACAAAUAUCCAAUUGCGACAUGCUACAAACCAUGGCUAAAAACAAUAUCCAAAAUAAUAGAGAAAUACCUAAGAUUGUCUAUAUCAUGAAAUAGAGCUUUUUAGAAAGAUGGAAUGUCACUACUUAAAUCCAAAUAUUGUCCCCGAGUCAAUCACUAUGUAGAAGAAUUUGAAAUGCCAGUUCCUACAUAACGUGGGUAUACAACCACUAAUAUACAAGUUAGCAAAUGACUGCUAGCAUGUAUCUCAUGAUAAGGAUAAAGUAAUGCCUUUUAAAACACCAAGUAAAAUCAUCAAUGAUGUGUACAACCAUACAUCUAUAUAAGUGCAGAGAAAGGUAAUCAAAGUUUAGCAUGCAUUUAAGACCUUUAACUUGGGAUUUGUAACCUUGUCAUUUAACCACUCCUACGGGUCAUAUGGGUUCAGCUCCCCCUGCUAAAAGAGCCCAGUGUGUUUAGCCACAGGACCAGGAAAUUUCCCAUGGGAUGACUAGUACAUCACUCUAAUAUAAAAUGUGACACUCGCACGUGGUCAUCAAAGACCCCUCAUAUCAGCAAAUAUGAGUUUCUAAUUUUAGUUCCACCAAAACCUCCACCUUUCAUUGCUUAGUUACACAUCCUGCUGUUAAUUCCCCAAUUAUAAACCAUGUUCAAACAAUCCUAUUACCAUUUAUUAACAAAGGACAAUUAUUAACGGUAUCGUCAUACUAACCAUACUUGCAAGAUUUAUCCAAUGCUAAACCAUUUAGGUUAAGCGGACUCUUAAGUUCCCUUUUUGUUUACCAUAUUAACCUCUUGGGAGACUACCAUGUCCUCAACAAUCAUAAUUAAUUUUCCUUUAACCUUUGUAAGUUAUUUAAACCAUUUAUAGUUUCGUAUAUAAGCUGAAAACAAGCAAGAGUUUUAUUUAAAGAAGUCAAUGAAAUGAACAUAUCUUUAUAAGCAUUUUGUCAAACACCUUGGGGGCAUAAUGUAACCAAAACCAAUUCCAAAGACCAUUAAACCAUUAACAUGCAAUACAAUUUCCCAAAACCAUAAUUGAUGCAUAUAAAAGGAUAAUUAAACUGUAGGAAACCAUAACCAAGCUACUAUAAACUAAACCCAUAAUUAAUAGUUGAAAACCAUAAAUAAUGCUACAUUGAGAGCAUGAAAAUAUCCAUAAAAUACAUGCCUUUUAAAAAGUAAGAAGUUGGGAAGAUAUAGAUGCCUUAAACUGAGAAAGAUGAUGGAAAAAAGUCACCAAAACAAGCCCCAAAGGAAUCCCUAAGUUGAAACCCUAGCUCUCUUACCCCAAAAGCUCUUGAGAGAAUUAUGAUGUGUUUUGAAAUAUUUUUCUAAGUGUUAAUAAAUAGAAUAAUAGGGUAAAUAACCUCCUUAGUGUAUUAGAGUCGUGGGUCAUAAUUAGGCUAAGUAGGGAAAUGUCAAAAAUACCCCACUUAAGUCACUUAAAAACCCAUUACAGGGAUACGACUGACUCUCUUAUGAGUCGUACACUUCCUCAUGAAUUAUUUCCACCAGUCAUACCCUGGACUUAACCUUCGGAUUAGACAUUGUCCAGCAUAUGAUUCAUUUAACCAAGUCGUAACCUCACCAUAUGAUCCAUACCCAUGAUCUGUAUCCCUGGAAGAAUGAAUUACAAGGAGGAUGAAAUAAUGCCCACCAUACGAGUUACCGAUCUAACUUGUAUCAAUCGUUAAGACUCACACCCCUAAGUAAUGAACAUUUCAGUGAUCAAAACCAUCCCACUAACUAACACUGGUCAGCUUAUGACUAGGCCAUACCACUCGUACUCCACCUACGGCUCAUACCCGCAGUCGCAUUAGGUGUGGAAAAUGAAUUUCACGGAAAAUUUCUCUGGCCCAAACCCAGGAUGUAACAUUCUCCACCACUAGAAAGAUUCAUCCUCGAAUGAUGGAUAAGGUAGGGAUAACCACACACAGAGACCUUUGAAUUAUCAAACAUAUUCACAACCUUCAUCAAAGUUUAAAAACAUAGAGGCAAGGGUAUUAAUCUUUUCUUUAAUAUACUCAAAAAAUAUCAAAGUGCUCAAGAACCCAUACUUUUCGUAAGAAUACAAGGAGAAGUAAACAAGAAUGGAUACUUAGAUUCCAUGUCCUCUUUCUCUUCCCAUGUAGCUUCUUCUACCUUAUGGUUCUUCCAUAGAACCUUAAUCGAAGACACAUCCUUGGUCUGCAAGUGAGGAACUUACUUAUCCAAUAUCUCAAUCGAGACCUCUUCCUAAGAUAGAUAAUCCAAGAUAUCCAACCCUUCCAAAGGAACAAUCAAAGAAGGAUUACCAAUACACUUUCUCAACAUGGAAAUAUGAAAGAUCUGAUGAACGAAACCCAAAUUAGAUGGAAACUCCAACACAUAAGCAACAUUACCAACUCUCUGGGAAAUCACAUAAGGAAAAAUAAAUGAAGGACUAAGCUUCCCCUUCUUUCGAAACCACACUACUCCCUUCAUUGGAGACACCUUUAGGAACACCCUAUCCCCAAUCUCACACUCCACAUCUCUAUGGCUAACAUCUAAAUAAGACUUUUAGUGACUUUGGGAAGCCUUAAUCUUAUAUAUAAUCAUGUUAACCUUAUCCAUAGUUUAAUAGACCAAAUCAGGACCAAACAUAUCCACCUCUUUAAGCUUAAACCAUCCAAUAGGAGAUCUAUACCCCCUGCCAUACAAUGCCUCAAAAGGAAUCAUAUCAAUAAUAGAAUAAUAGCUAUUAUUGUAAGAAAAAUCUACUAAAGAUAGAUGCUCAAGCCAUGUAAUACCAUAAUCAACCACAUAUUCCUGAAGCAUAUCCUCCAAUGUCUUAAUCAUUCUGUCUAUUUGCCUAUUCAAUUGCAGAUAAAAAUCUUACUCAGACUAACCGUAUUUUGCAAUCCUUUGUGGAAAGACCACUAGGAAUGAGAUGUAAACUUCUUACCACGAUAAGAACUAAUCAAAAUUGUAAGACCCUGCAAAAUCCUAAGAUUAAUUUAGUCCAUUUAUGCUUCUUAAGGGGGACCCAUACUUAGAAAGUUCUAGCUAAGUUUCCAAACUUAGUUUAUUUUAGCCCUCAAAAUUUUCCAGUCUCAUUUCAUGACUUUAAUGUCCUUUAAUGGUCCGUACUCUUGUUAAUUCAUGACCAGGAAGGUCAAUAGGUGUUCCUGGACAAGUUUUGAAUUUUUUGAAACUCGUUUAGACCAUAUUUAAAAUCCCAAAAUUGUAGACCAAUGCGAUCUUAGCGUGCUGCAUCACCAAUCAUGUGGGUUGAUAUUGUUGCAGGUUGCUAGAGUCAAAGUACUGAGGCUCAGCGUAAAAAUAGCGUAUUUCAUCGACUAUCAUAUUGAUGCCAUGACACGCUGCAUCGCUAAUAGGGUCGGUGCCCAGUUCUCAAUCAUUUAAAAGCCACGUCUUCUAUGUUAUUUCAGUCUUUUUCCCAUGCCCUUCAGCCCUCAUAACUCAAAAUUUAUCCCUCUUUUGGCUAAUUCUAUUCAUUAUUCACAAAAUUCUCAAGAACAAAACCCUAGGGCUAUCAGUUAAAGAAUCAAUUUCUAAGGGAUUCCACUAUUAACCCCAACUAAGGUAUGUCAAGUGUUCGUCCAAGGGUUUCUUCAACCCUUGGAGUCCAAAAAACAUUUUUAAAAACUCAAAAUAAUGUUUUUGAUGAAUUUCAUGAUUUAGUUUGAUUGUGUUCAUGACCAUUAUGUUAAUGGGUUCUCUUGUUCAUGAUUUAAUUGCAAUAUCUAUGCGAAGUAAAGUGAUAUAUGUGCAGUAUCAUGCAAAACCAUGUUAAACCCUUGAAAUUUGUCAAUGGAAAUGUUAAUUAUGAUGCAUAUUUGUUGUAUAGGGUUAUGUGCAUAUGUUAUGCUCACCAAGUGUUUGAUAAAUUGCUCAUGUGAGUUAAUAAGUGAAAGAAAUCUUACCAUGCUAGUUAUGUGCAAGUUGUAUCAUGCAAGUGUUUGACAAAUUGUUUAUGAGAAUGAAAUAAUGCCAUGUUUUAGUAUGACAAUACAUAUUCCCCAUUCAUGUACAAGUAAUGUAACUUAAGUGGUUGUUAAAAUGUCUAAAUGAAUGAAAGAUAAACAUGUAGCCAUAUUUUUAAGCUUGUGCCAUGAUUUACUUAUUAUACUAUCGAGUCCUGGGAGUACUUGUACCCGACAAUUUAGCUGUGUGCCUAGAGCCAGUGCUAGUUUUCAUGAUACUCACAGUCAAGCCAUGAUGAGUAAAACUUAGUCAGUCAUGUAACUCAGGAAAAAUUUAGUAAAUUCUGUAUCAGUCCAGUAAUUUCAGUAAUCUCAGUCGAUUAUCAGAUCUCAAUAGUAUUCAGUUCAGACCUCAAUAACUCAGUCAACUGGCAGAACUCAGAAGCAUUCUAUCAGUUAAUAGAAUUCAAUAGUAUUCUGUCAUUCCAUGGAAAUUAGUAAACUCAGUUCAAUAAAUUAAAAAUGUACCAUCUAUAACAGCUCAGUCAUGCCUAGUGUGAACUAGGAAAACCAGUUCAGUGUCUAUUUAUUUGGGAGUAGGAUCCAACACCGAGUGAACCUGGUGAUAAGGGCUCCCCUAUUAUCCAGUAGAUGGUGUGCUCCGUAGUAGCAAUCCCUGCGUUCCAGAAAUACGUAGCCAGUAUAGGUUGAGAUGUACCCCUACGAGUCUAGGGACUAUGCAUCUUCUUUUAGUUUUCCUUUCGGAGGGGUUGACGGAAGAGCUCCCUGUCAGGGAGGGUUUGCUCAUAGCUUUUCUUUAACCGUGGCACAAUACUGACACACUUCCAGCUGGGGUUACAGGUUGGACCCCAGCAGUUCAGAUUCUGGGCAUGUCGGUUAGAUGAUUACCUCCUAUAGUCUCUAUUUCAAAUUCAAUCUCAGUAAUAGAACUUAGUUUAGUUCUACAGAUAUCAAGACUAUCAAAUAUAGUCGCUCAUCUUAGUAUGAAACUCAGCUAGUUCUAUUAGAAUUAAGACUAUCAGAUACAAUCAUCCAGUUUAGUCUAAAACUCAGAUAGUUCUUCAGAUUCAGGACUGUCAGAUACAGUUACCCAGUCCAGUAAAGAACUGAGAUAGUUUUUUUAGUAUUAGUAUACUCAGUUAUCAUUUAUCAGUAAUAUAGUACUAGCAACCUCAGAUAUCAGUUACCUGUAAACUCCAUAAUUCAUAUCAUCAAUAGACUCAGUUAUUUAGUAUCCCAGUAUUAGUAAACUCAGAUGACAGUACAUUAGUAUUUAGUACUGUCACUAUCCCAGUUCCAGUUUAUGUAUUCAUGCAUGUAUUUCUCACGCAUUCAUAUUCAUGUCAUCAGUUAGUUAUUAUUGUGCAUGCAUAUGAACCCUUGCAUUCAUCUUACCUCAUUUGCAUACCAGUACAUUUAAUCAUACUGACGCAUUCGUGAUAUGGUGUUUUAUACCAUAGGUUUAAAAGCACGAGCUCCCCAGUAUAAUUAGUAGAUCAGACGUUCAACAGCCAAACGAAUAAUGAGUCCUCAUCAUUCGAGGAUAGCAUGAUUAUUUUAUUACUUUAUUAUUUUAGUAGUUUGGAGUUAGUUUGGGACAUGUCCCAUCAACUCCAUCAUUUUCAAAAAGUCUAGAUUCUUUCAGACUACAACAUGUUUCAG